AAAUUUCAACAUAUUCCAAUAUCUGCAUUAACAUUUCAAUCCACUUAGUAAUUCUACAGACACACUUAAGUGAGGAGUUCCUAAAUUAUAAUACACGCAACACUCCAAAUUCUACACCCGCUCACGACCUUUUUUUUUGUUUUUGUUUUUUCUUUUACCCACCUGAAUCUAUGAACUCACUGUACUGAUACUCUUCUCUUACAAUGUGACCUCCAAUACAGAGGUUAGUAAUAGAGAAACCAUUGACUUUAUUAAGGUACAGUACAGGUAAAGUUUAGAUAUAUACCUAGAGAUAACAGCAACAAGACAUUUUAACCCAAGACUUUUGGACGCCAACCCGCAAUGACAUCUUCUUUCAGGGCACUAGUUUUAACGAAUGAAUCCAGUGAGAAUAUACUCUGCAUGUCAGAAAUUCAGCAGUGUUAGAAACAUACUUCGCUAAGUACAAAAUGAGUUCUAGUCCUCACACAAGCACGAGUAAAAAGCAAGAACUACAAGGGCUAAACUCAAAAGGAUUACAAUUUUUUUGACAAUAUGGUCAUAGAACUUCCAUUAACAUGGUAUCCUUGACAUUCUUGCAAGUCCAAUUUCAAAAUUUAUGAUGCAAGUCCAGAAAAAAGUGCAUCUAGAUGUAAUUAGCUAAUCAUAUUAGCAAGUUCCAGGAGUUGUGAUGUCAAUUUCAUAAUCAAGAUAAACCUCUUGUUACUUAGUAGUGUAAACUUGUUAGCGACACACAUUUCAAUUUCACAUACCUUCAUAUAAGACUUCACAUAUGGAAGAGAAUCGGGAAUUGACCAAUCUUUGAAAUGCCCCAGAGCAAUCUCUAGAUGAUACAACUUGGGUCCAAGUGAAAAAUCAGCAGCAGAAACCACUUUCCCAUUGAUAAAAGGACCCUUUAAUACAUAGAGGACAAAUGUCAAACAUAUAUCCAUUCAAUUUGGUUUUUUUAAGCAUGGCUGUACAAGAAGAUAUUUAACUUCACAAAAAGCACACAUCAAGGGCUAUUGCACCGAAAGAUAGCAUCCUAAAUCUGUUUUUAUUUUCUGAUAAAUAAGAAUAUAACCACUGAUGGUUUAAUCCAACAUGGAUUUAGUAGGAUAAAACAUGGUAUGACUAGAAAGCACGAUGAUCAUUAAUGUUCUUCAAAAAGACAUAGCAUUGCGAUUUUGGUUGUCUACAGGGGUGACAUUCAUCACUGGGAGUGACUACCUGACUCUGACUCAUCUUCUCAGCAUGAACAUUUUAACUAUAGAAUUGUGAAAGAUUCCGUUUUGCUGUCGGGUAUUAAAAUUGUAAGAUAAGAGAAAGGUAUUCACAUAUCUUAGAGGAAUUAUGUUGUUAAAAUUCUAAGAGAAAGCCUAUAUGGGCUCUUAACCUGUCGAUAAAUUAUCUCCCAUGAAAUUAAUGUUGUGAAUCAAUUUUUUUACCACUGCACACACACACACACAGAGGCUGUUUACAGUCCAUUAGCCAAAAUUAGGACUGAUUACUAGAGGUUCUAUCCCGGGUAAAUUACUACGAGUAUUUUUGUUGGGUGUAGACUUUAAACAUAGGCUGUUUACAGUCCAUUACCCAAAAUUAGGACUAAUUACUAGAGGUUCUAUCCCGGGUAAAUUACUACGAGUAUUUUUGUUGGGUGUAGACUUUAAUUUUUGUGUUGUAUAUAAAAACACGCUCCCGCUAUUCAUUUGAUUAUUUCAUAUGCAAACAAAUUAGCUUUCAUGAACAAGCAAAACAAAAUUAGCAAGCUGAUAUAAAUUCAAGGCAUCAUUUAUUCACAAAAUGUGAACGAAAACUUCAUUAAUAUGAAGGUACAGCAAAAACUGGAAGGAAUGUAGAAGGCCUCACGUUUUCUUUGAGAUAAUCGUCGAAAGACUUAAGUUCAUUUAGCAACGCUUCUUCUGUUCCAUCCUUGGCAUCUUUGCUCUUAAGGAAACCGAUAAAUGUAGAGAAGAUCUUCGAUCCACUGCAAAGAUCAAAAUUUCAAAUAUGAACCUAAACAAUUAUAAUAUUUUGACAAGACAGCAAAGUCAAAAAUAGAACUGUGGAAUAAAUAAGUAAAGGUUCUGACUAGCGAACAUUCUGGAGGUGAACUUUACAUGAUAUAUUUUUCAAAAGAGCCACACAAUAUCAGGAAAACAAAUUUGGUUUAGUUUAAGAAGUUUAAAGUUUAUAAUCAUGAUGGCAAUACAACUCAGCAUAAGUAAAAUGAAAAUCUCGACAAGACUAACAUUGACGCUCCAAUAUUUUGGCCAUCAAGCCAUUACAUAUGUCCUAGUGAAAAGUAAUGAAAGAGUAAUGCAUAGUACAGGACAUAUAACAUACACUGAAGCCUUCUCAGGGGGCGUUGCCAGAGGUGGAUCAGGGUAUUUUUCUUCCAGUGCUUGUGUAAUAAUAUCUGAAUCCGCAACCCACUUCUCAUCAAGUUUUACCACAGGAACUUUACCUUCUGGGUAAACUUUUAAGAACCUAAACAUAGAAACAAAUUGAUAAAACAAAGUCUUUGAACUAAAAAGAUAAAACCAAAUAGCAGCAGAUAUUUGCACUAGCAUACACAAGUGACAAUUUUUCAACCAUAGAAAAAGAAACAACACCAAAGAAAUAAAAUUCAAUCCCAGAUAAAUUCAAGGCAAUCACCAUUCUGGCUUGUUGCCCAAGUCUACCAACUUCAGGUCAUAAGGGAGAUGCUUUUCCUCUAGUGUCAGCAACACCCUUUGACAGAAGGGACCUAGGAAAGACAAGUUAUCAAACAAACACUUAAUAAUGUGCUCCCCUGAUUCAAAUGGUACCGCUACGAACACUAACACAUUAAACAAUAUCCCACUUCAAUAUUUAUACACCAUUAUGUAACAACGAAACUAUAAGAGAACUUAAAUUCGACAUAGUUAUCGGACAUUUCCAACAAUGCCGGUUGAAAUUUACUCUAUGUAUGUAAAAAUGUAAAACUCCAAUGUAAAGAUAUCAUCUUUUCAUGUUAUGUCUAUAAUUUCGAUAGCUAUUGAAAAUCCCAAACCUUUCCGUUCGAUUUUCCCUCCUCCAAAAUAUGUAUAAGAAGAACUACUUUUCUACAAAAUGUACACAAAACUAUCAAUUUCUAUGAAUUUGGCGCAAUGGAUGAUCCGAACAUAGCAAUGCUACAAAUCUGCCACAUGGGUUGGUGACCCAAUUGAAAAUUGGGUAUUCUCCUGCAAUUUCUAGGACACCAAACAGACUUACAGUCGCCGAGCUUGUUGGGAACAGUAACGGAAGCCUUGGCACAAACGUCGAGAGGGGCGGCCAUUGCCACCGUGAGGGUUCUUGUGGUGCCGCGGCGCCGCAGGGAGUUGGGAUUGGUUCUGAAUACGACAGCGUUGGGAGGCGGCCGAAGGUGGUGUUUGAUGGUGGUGGAGAGCACAGCGGAGGCCGUCGGAUGGAUUCUGGCGGUGGUCGACAUUGCAAUAUCUAAAGCUUAUCGAGGAGAUUAGGAGCGGCGAAGAGUGAUGCUGGAGCUUGCUAUAUUCGUUACAGCUGAUUUUGUGUACCAGGAGAUUCCAGAUUGUAACUGUACGCGUGGCACACACUUCUCACAUUUAUUUAUUUAGUAUUUUUUUCUAUGAUAAUUAGUACUCCGGUCUAGUUACUUGUUAGUGAGGUUUUAUCUUCGAUUCUCAUCAAAGAUAAAUUUGAACUACAUUAUUAGGCUCAGCAAUAUAAGAAGUUGAAAAACAAAAAACCUAUAUAAAAUGUUACCUAAUUCAAACUCAACAUUCACAAUUUGGAUUUGGGUUGGGUUUGGGUUUGAAUGGGAUCUGGACUUACUUAGUUCGGUUCGGAUUUGGCCAACUUUAUUGAUUUGUAAAUUGUAACACCUUUUUUUUUUUUGCAAUAUUUUUCAAAUUUUGAAUCAAACAAUGUUUAUACUAGUUAAAAUUCAAUUCUACACAUUAUCCACAUAUAAGUUAAUUUCAUGUACAGCCAUUAUCUUUCAUUGCUGAAAUAAAAACCAACAAAAACUUCAAUUACAGUCACCCCAACAUUUGUAUGUAGCUCAUAAAAUAUGAAGCACGAAGGGUAAUAUGUGUAUGAGAGAAUUCGAACUAGAAAUUAGAUUGAGUUUGGGUUGACAUGUGCAAGAAAGACAUCAAUUCAACACAAUCCAACCGAACCCAAUAAAUGAUUGAAUUAAGGUCAGUUGGAUUUGAUCAGAUUUUUACUUCAUUCUAACUCAUCCAAUUAUGAUAAUCAAAUUGAGCUUGAAGAGAUUCGAGUUAACCUAAUCCAAGCGCACCCUAUUAGCAACUAAGAAGAAGAGCGGGCUCUCAUGCAUGGGUGUCCAAGAAAUCAUAGACCUAAAUUAAGUGUGACAACACUUGGGCUUGAAGGAAGAUUCAUUCAGAUACAAUGCUAACCACUUGCCGUUUUGAAGUACUAUUCUCUAUAUGUGGCCCAUAAAAUACAUAAAUUAAUUAAAGCUUCGUUCCAGAAUGAUGAUGCUCUCUAGAUCUUUUUUGUGAAGAUCCUGAGAAUUCUCAAAUCAUAUCCAUUUAAUGUAUAUCGUGUGGUAAAAAAUUAUUUUAAAUUAUUUUGUUUAAAAUUAAAUAUAAUUAGUAUUUACCGAAAACUGGCUGCACGAUUUACGAUGAACGAACACUAUUUGAGGAUCUCCAAAAUCCUCACAAAGAGGAUCCGGAGAGGAUCCUCAUUCUUUGUUCCCUUCCAACCAAACUGUAGUUCAUAAUUCAUUUGUAGUUUAAUGGAAUUACUUUGAUCUAGGUAUAAAAUGCAAGUGGCAUUUGAUUAUAGCGGUGAAAAGGUGUUGAGUCCUUACAUAAUGACGUAAGUUCAAAUCCCGUUGGUGACUAAUCUAAUAUCUAAUCUAACAAAACCUAUCGUUUGAAAAAAAAAUUAAAAAAAAAAAAAGAAGAUCUAGGUAAAAAAUUUGUGUUGUGAUUGAAUUUAGUUCAAUUUUGUUAUCUUUUUACUUUAAUUAAAUUUGUCUUGCCUGUUUAAAUUUCUUGAUUUAUUAAUCUUUACUCAAUCUUUUAAUUUGAAUAUUUUAAUAUGAAGAUCCAACCACAUAUAUGGAAAAUAGUUGAAAUUUUUUUAUAUGCCAGCCAUAUAUGAUACAUCAUAGGUUGAUAAGUACAUUUAACCCGUGAUGGAGAUAGAAUAUACGAAAAAUAAAUAAAACUUAAAAUCUACCUAUCAUCCAUGAAAAUAGUUUAAGAAAUUUCAUCUUCAUACAUUUAUAUUCAUACUAGUAUAUAUGCUCGUAUGUAUAAAACCUAGAUCAAAUAUUUUUUUAACACAAUUAACAUGUGAUGGAGGUAGAAGAAAAAUUGAGAUAAUAAUUAUAAAAACUAAGUGAUUGUUGUGGUGUAUUUUAUCUGACAAUGUUAAAGAGGGCCGGUGGCAAGGAGAAAAGAGUGAGAGAGAUGUGUUUGUAGAAUUGUAGGGGAAUGUGUGUUAUUAUCCCUCCUACAUUGUGCCUUUAUUUAUAGUAGUAAAAGGAGAGAAGAUAUUCCUUCUUCCCAAAGGAAUACAAGAUACAAUAGGAAGAGAUAACUAGAAUAAAAUCUACUCUAGGAUUUACACAAUCACACUUAAACUAGGAAUGUUUACAACACUCCCCCCUGAGUGUGUAAAUACUCAAUAUAGAUUUAGCAUCAUGCAGAAGUUGAGGAAGUCGACUCGUCAACAUUGAUUCUAAGGAACAACGCUUAUUCUCAAUAAGGUAGGAACUUACAUAAGUAGCAUGUCUCACUAAAAAAAUCCUAAGGGUAUGGCAAAAACCCAAGGAGGGACAAAAUUCAUAGUAUAAGGAAAAAUGUGUGAGAAAUGCAAAGUCAAAAGAAACGUCUACGGGACGUCAUCAGGGAUAUGACCAGCCCAAGGUGGGUGCCUCAUUAAAACCUAGUUAGGUAGCAAAAACCCAGUGGGAAAAAUGCUUCUAAUCGUAGGGAAAAAGAGUACAUUAAGAUCAAGCAAGUAUCUACAGGACACUCUCCCUGAGUUUGACACAAUUUCAAAGAGAAAUAGUAAAGUUACAACUAAGAAAGUUUACGCAUACCAAUUCCAUAAACAAGCUUUUGAAAAAUCGUCUUUGGCAGUGAUUUGGUGAAGAGGUCAGCUAGAUUGUCUUGUGAAUGGAUUUGUGUGACUUCAGUCUUUUAAUGCUCUUGUUGUUGAUGUGAAAAGAAAAACUUCGACAUGGUGUUGUCUCCUUUGAUAUAACCUUUUUUGAGUUGUUUGAUGCAUGCUACGUUGUCUUCAAAGAUCGUUGUCGGGACAUCAACGACUGGAUAAAGAUUGUAGGAGCUUCGAAUAUGGCCCAUUACUGCUCUCAACCAAAAGCAUUCCCGAGUUGCUUUAUGUAAGACAAGAAUUCCAACAUGGUUAGACAAAGUGGCAACUAAGGUCUGUUUAGUUGACUUCUAAGAGAUUGCGGUGCCUCUAAUGGUAAAGACAUAACCCAUUUGAGAAUGUGCCUAGUGCGGAUCAGAUAAGUAUCCUGCGUCGGCAUAACCAACAAGGCGUGAAUUGACUCGAGAGGCAGAAGGUGCAGCAUCACUCGAGGAUCCGUAAAGAUAAAACAAGCCCAAAUCCGUUGUACCCUUAAGGUAAUGUAAGAUGUUUUUCAUGCCGGUCCAGUGUUUGCGUGUAGGUGUAUUACUGUAUCUUUCCAAAAGAUUAACAGCAAAGAAGAUGUCGGGUAUAGUGCAUUGAACUAAGUACAAUAAAGCUCUCAUCGCACUUAGAUAAGGAACUUCAGGCUCCAAAAUCUCUUCAUCAUCCUCCUUCGGACCAAAGGAAUUUCGUUUUGCAUCUAGCGAUUGAACGACUAUAGGAGUACUCGAAUGUUUCGCUUUAUCCUCAUUAAAACGACGCAACACCUUCCAAGUGUAGUUCUAUUGAUGUACUAGGAAUCCAUCGGAACAAUGCUCUAUGUUGAGACCAAGACAGUAUUGAGUCUUACCUAGAUCUUUUAUCUCAAAUUCCGACUUCAGGUGUGUAGCAGUUCUCGUAAGCUCUUCAGGAGUUCCAAUGAGGUUCAUAUUAAAAACAUAUACUACAACAAUCGCAAAUCCAUAAUGUGACUUCUUAGUGAACACACAAGGGUAUAAUUCGUUGUUCAUAUAUCCCUGACUAGUCAAAUACUCACUUAGACGGUUAUACCACAUUCUUCUGGAUUGUUUCAAACCGUAUUGUGAACGCCUUAGCCAAAUGAGGUCGUGUUCUGGGGUUUGGAAAUAUUUGAAUCUGUCAAUGUAAGUCAUUCGGGAACUUUCAUAUAGAUUAUGUAUCAAGGUCCCCAUAGAGAUAUGCGGUUACUACAUGUAUCAGCUGCAUAUCCAAUUUUUCAGAAAAUACCAAACUGAUAAGGUAGCAAAAAGUAAUCACAUCCAUAACGGGUGAAUAAGUUUCGUUAUAGUCAAUCUUGAGGCAUUGUGAGAAGCCUUGUGCAACAAGACGAGCUUUGUAACGCACAAUUUCGUUCUUCUCAUUACGUUUCCCAACAAAAACCCACUUGUAGCCAAUGGGCUUCACAUGUGAAGGGGUAGGAUUUACAGGUCCAAACACCUUACGUUACGCAAGCGAAUUGAGUUCGACUUGGAUUACGUGUUUCCAGUUUGACCAAUCAGUUAUACGUUGACAUUCAUCAAUAGAACCGGGUUCAAUGUCAUCGCUCAACAUGAUCUCAGUAGCUACUACAUAUGCUAAUGCAUCGUCGACAAUCAUCUCAUUUCUAUGCCACACAUCAUCUAAGCUAGUAUAAUAGACCGAAAUCUCUCGAUUCUCGGGAGGAGGAUUCGUUUCUUCAAGGACGCUUCCAUAAUCUAGAAUUUCCUCAUGAGUUGGGUAGAAUGAGUAAGCAAUAGUUGGAUUCACGGUAGGUUCUUCGGGACCUUGUGCCGUGGGUUUCCUCUUCUAGGGGUGUGAAUCCUUUGAACCAAGAGGAUUGCCACGUUUUUGUGUAGGGGCAGAUGAAUAGCUAGCUGCUAAUGUACGUGGAUCACUAAGAUUGGCGUCCUGGGCUUCUAGGAGGGUAGUCCGUCAUACAUUUGGUACAUCUAUCUUUGCAGGUGUAUUCACAGCUGGAAUGUGUGAUCUUGUCAUGCACUUUAGAUCGGUGAAAGCAUAUGGCAUGCUCUGAGCUAUGGUCUAAAGAUCUAAUAUGUGAUGCACUUUAGUUUCAGAUUGAGAGGUGCAGGGAUCCAAAUGAGCCAAAGUGGGAGUCGUCCAUGAUAAUUUACGUAUUUCUUCAGGAACGUUGACAUUCUUAUCUCCCCCUAAUGACGAGAAGACUGUAUCAUAGAAGUGACAAUCCGUGAAAUGAGCGGUAAACAGAUCGUUUGUCAAAGGUUCUAAGUAACGAAUAAUCAAAGGAGAAUCAUAUACAACAUAGAUUCCCAUCAUUCGCUGAGGCCCUAUUUUUGUACGUAAGGGCGACGAGAUCGACACAUAUAUCGCAUAACCAAAUACGCGCAGAUGCGAUAUGUCGGGUUCCUAUUUCAUAACCAACUGAAGGGCACUAAAUAGUUGUGUCGCAACAGGCCUCAGGCGGAUCGACUUUGCUGCGUGCAAUAUUGCAUGACCCUAAGCAGCGAUCAAGAGCUUGGUAUGUAUGACUAACGAUUGAGCAAUCAUUUGUAAGCGCUUAAUGAAAGCCUCUGCCAGGUUGUUUUGGGUGUGAACAUGGGGUACAUGAUGUUCAACUUUAACCCCAACCGACAUGCAAUAGUCAUCAAAAGUUUUAGAUGUGAAUUCUCUAUCAUUAUCCAAUUGAAUAGAUUUGAUCGGAUAAUCAGGUGGUGAGCCCUGAGCUUGAUAACCUGAGACAAUAGUUUAGAGAAUGCAAAGUUCCUUGUGGACAAUAAACACACAUGUGACCAACGUGUGGAAUCAUCAACCAAAUCCAUAAAGUAUCUAAAUGGUUCGCAGGGAUGGUGAAUCGGUCCACAAAUGUCCUCUGAAUCUGUUGUAGAAAAAUGGGAGGAUUCGAACAAAUCUUGUCAUAAGAAGGCUUAGUAAUAAGCUUUCCCAUGGAACAUGUUUGGCAUGCGAUUCCUUGGAUCGAACCUAAACUUUGGGUUAGUGGAUGCUCGUGUGAAGAUUUGAGAAUACGGCGCAUCGCUAUUCAUCCAGGAUGUCCCAAACGAUCAUGCGAAAGUGUAAUUUCGUGCGCGGUCCCAGUAGUAGGGUUGGCCACAUAGUGGCAUUCUAUAGGGCGUAUGGUCGUAGUAUAUAGACCACUUGGGAUAUGAUCCAUCUUCUCUAGAAUAUGCUUCUGACCAUAGUCGUAGAAAGUUAUGCAAAGAAAUUUAACUCAGUUUUCUACGUGGGUUUCAGCGUGGUAAUUGUUAUCUCUAAUGUCCUUGAAACUCAACAACGUUGUUCCGAAACGUGGAGAAUAGACUGCCUCAGAAAUGGUUAAGAUUGUACCAUUGGACAACAUUAUAAGUGCCUUACCGUAUCCUUCUAUCAGGUUGAAUGAGCCUGAAAGGGUUAUCAGAGAUGCAUUAUUAGGUAUGAAGUUAGUGAAAUAGAUGCGUUCACGCAAAACUAUAUGCGUGGUUGCACUAUCUGCUAGACAACUAACUUUCCCACUAGUCAUACCUAAAAUGAAAAAUUAAUUUGAAUCGGUCACAUGCAUAAAAGUUUUGAAAAAUAAAUAUCAAUUCAAAAUAAUUUCAUUUAUUCAAGGAUAGUAAUUAAUUAAAACGUAAUAUCCAAAAAAAACAAAUCACCAACAAAUAAUCCAAGUAUAAAGGAAAAAUUGUUCAAAAAUCAAUAAAAAACAAGGGGGGUUCGGCCACUAGGUGGAAUUUGGCCCCAAUUGUCUUAUUUUAACUAAAAAAUAAGUCUACGUCUAAGAUUCUAAUCUUCCAUAGGGGUGGUAUCCUCUUGAAAGUCAGAAAUCUCCAUCUUUGUAGUCUCCAAUUCGUCUACUUGCAUGAAGUUUGAUUCAAACUUCUUACGAUGGGAAUGAUAUUCAUUUACAACCUUCUUGGGAGCUCGGCAAACAAGGGACCAAUGGUCAUUUGAACCACAACGAUAGCACAUAUCCGCAUCCAUAGUUUCAGGUGCUUUGCCCUUAUUCUUGAAGUUCUGGGCCUUGGAAGUGAGGUUUGGGCGCUUUGGGGCUUUGUUUCCUCUCUUAGAUGGGUCUUGACUCUGUUGACCUUGGUAGGAUGGCUUCUGGCCGCACCUACCACGCAUUUUUUGGCGUUUUGGGCAUUGGUUGGUGUUAUAAUGUGCUUCAGGCACAACAGUCGCCCCAGUAGGUCGAGCUUGAUGGUUCUUCAUCAACAGCUGGUUCUGCUUUUCAGCGAGAAGUAAAACAGAUAUCAAAUCUGAGAACUUAGUGAACUUCUGAGCUCUAUAUUGUUGCUUCAUGACAAUAUUAGAAGCAGAGAAGAUCAAAUAGGUAUUAUCCAGGAGAUCCUCUUCAGUUAAAGUUUUGUUGCAAAACUUGAGAAGUGAUCGGAUUCGACAAACUUCAGAAUUAUAUUCAUUCAUAGACUUAAAGUCUUGGAAGCGUAAGUGCUGCUAGUUGUGUCUUACUUUAGGCAACAAUAUGUCAUUUUGGUGAUCAAAAUGAUCAUUCAAAGCGACCCAUAGUGCACAUGGAUCCUCCUCAGCUAGAUAUUCAGUUUGCAGAGCGUUAUGAAUAUGUCUUCGGAUGAAGAUCAUAUCGGUGGCUUUUUCAGCUUUGCUAACAGGAUUGUCCGUCUCUUCUUCAAUAGCAGGACGCAAGUUCUUUGCAGUGAGGUGGAGCUUUACAUCUUGGACCCACUUGAGGUAGUUCUUUCUAGAGACCUCCAAAGCGGUGAAGUCGAGUUUGUUCAAAUUCGACAUGUUCCUAUCACAAAAUAGAUGGAUAAGAUAUGGUUAGUGUAAUGGAGAAAAAUCAAUCCAUUCACAUAAGAGUAGAAAAUACAGGUUCUAAUAGACAUGUUAUUGGUUUAAUUUUGCAUGAAAAGACUUCGGGUUUUCAUGGGUGAUGUUUUUAAAUGAAAACUUCAGGUUUUUAAACAAGAAACUUCAGAUUUCAAAAUAAUUACGAACUUCAGGUUCAUAUAUUCCUGCAGGCAAACACAAAUAUAUACACAGAAAAAUGCAACUUGAAUAUGCAAAGAUAGGAUUUUUAGGUUUAUAAUUAUAAUUGAAUUUUAAUUAUUUGGACUUUGGGGCCAAAUUAAAGUGUGGGUGAAAAAAAUAUAAAACCCAUUAAGCCUAAAAUAAUUAGGUGAAUAAAACUCAGGGCCCAAAAGAGAAAUAUAAGCCUACGGGGGACUAUAUAAAAAUGGUGCCGUGUGACCUAGGCCCUAAAUUAGGCUAGGAUAUCUCGGGUGGGGCUACAGGCCCAUGGGGAGAGGAUAAAUUGGGGGCUGCUAAAAGACAGACACGGGUCACAUAAAAGAUAACCCCUAAAGAAAUGUCACUCGGCUCGCUGUAGGGAGGCCCAAAAAAUUUCCCUUUUUUUUCUCACUCACGGGCUGGGGGAAAAAUGCAUUGGGCAAAAGCAGGGAAUCCAAAAAAUUAGGGAGCAAGCCAAGAAUGAAGCCUAAUAGGGCUCGGGUUGGGUCCAAAGACACCCCAACCGUAGCUGGGUGCGUGCCGGGGAAGAAGGCCGGCACUACCGCUUCAGGCGGUGGUGCUUUGGGACAAUGGUGCUCGGAGUGAGUCUUAUAGGUCGUGGGAGACCUCAAAAGUGAACGGAGAUUUGAGAAAAAAAUCUCGACAUUAGUUGUAAAACCUUAGAAUUUCGAAUAGGGUUUUUUUGAAAAAAAAACGAUGAGAUUCAAUCGAAUCUCGGUCAAUUAAUGUCGAGGAUGAGCUUCAGGCCGUCAAACAUGGUGACCCGAGGUGUAAGGAUGGGUUGCAGGUCAUCCUGUGAUGGUGGGGACGCCGUGAAGGGUGUUGGGUUUCUGGGUUGUGGGGCUCGGAGCUUCUGGCUCUGUGGUUCUCGGCUUGGUACAACAUCAGUCCUCAGGUUGCAGGCCUAGGUGAUGUCAGGGGUUCGAAGAACCCUAGGUUCCCAAUCGUAAUUUUUUUAAUUAAUUCAUAUAUAAUUUAAUUCAAAUCAUAUUCAAUUCAAUUAUAUGCAUAUGCAAAACAAUAAUAUGUUAAUUGAAUUCAAUUUGAUGCAAUUUGUUGAUGCACAAAACCGGAGGGGUCUUGGAACAACGUAAAUCUGACCGUGAAUCUGCAAGAAAGUAAAGAACACAAGAUGUAUCGUGGUUCACCCCAAUGUUUGGGCUAUGUCCACACUGAUAUUGUAUUUCUCUGUUUGUGAGAGGAUUGUGAGAGAGAGAGAGAGCUUCUGAGGGUGAGAGUGAGGCUUUGCUUUGAAUCUCAAAGCCUCUCGGAUUGUGAGGGUGAGGAUGCCCAUUUUUAGAUAUUUGCCCCUUCAUUUAUUACAUAAUUAUGUUUGAGUCCCCCGAGUAUUUAUACAAUAUCUAAAUACGGAGGCCCUAAGUAUAGUACAAACAGUAGUCCCCCAAGUAUUUAGUCAAAAGAGUAUUUUGGCUGGAGACUUGAAAUUCAGUCCAUGUGUGGGCCGAAGUACCUAGAUGUCGUCUAGAACUGAUACACGAUAUGAGGUGGUGCUCAAUCUGAAAUGAUGCUCAACUAGAAGUAGCACAUGUUGCGAGACUGCUCUGCUUGUGACUUAUGUUGCCUUGGUUGGCUCGGCUUGUGGCGUUGAUGAGGGAGUCCCUUUUAUAGAUAAGGGCUCGCUUCUCAAUACAAAAAAUGGGCUAGAGUUGGUGCUCGAGGCGAGGCGGUUGCUCAGCAGGCGGCGAUGCUCUCUAAUGAUGGUGAGGGAGUCCCUUUUAUAGAAUAAGGGCUCGCUCCUCAAUACAUAUGUGAUGGGUGCUCUCUAAUGAAAGUGAGGGAGUCACUUUUAUAAAAUAAGGGCUCGCUCCUUAAUACAUGAAUAAUAGGUUAGAGUUGAUGCUCGCAGUGAGGUGGUUGCUCAGUAGCUGGCGAUGCUCUCUAAUGAUGGUGAGGGAGUCCUUUUUAUAGAAUAAGGGCUCACUUCAAUGUAUGGUACAUAGUAUAGUCCCCCAAGUCUUUGGUCAAUAGAGUUUGUUGGUUGGAGACUUCAAAUUGAAUCCAUGUAUGGGCCGAAGUGGCGGUUGUUCAGAGACGGUAUUUGUAUACCCUACACUGAAGCUUUGUAGGUGAAGCUUUGCAAGUGAAGUUUUGAAGCUGGAUUUUGUAAAUGAAGCUUUUGAAGCUGAAGCUUUUGAAGCUGAAGCUCUCGAAGCUGGAGCUCUGUAAAUGAAGCUUUCAAAGCUAAUUGACAUGAGUGAUGCUCAUGAAUGUUUAUGUUGAUUGACAUGAGUGAUGCUCAUGGAUGUUGACAUGAGUGAUGCUUAUGAAUGUUGACAUGAGUGAUGCUUAUGAAUGUUGACAUGAAUGAUGGUCAUAAAUGUUUAUGUAUGAUUGACAUGAGUGAUGCUCAUGAAUGUUUAUGUAUGAUUGACAUGAGUGAUGCUCAUGUAUAAUUUUAGAGUACUGGACGUACUUUUGAUCACCUGUUUGGUGAUAAUAGCGGCAAGCUGCCGAAUAAUUUUAGAGUACUGGGCGUACUUUUGAUCACCUAGUGGGUGAUAAUAGCAACAGGCUGCCGAAUAAUUUUGGAGUAUUGGACAUACUUUUGAUCACAGCGGCAGGCUGCCGAAUAAUUUUAGAGUACUGGACGUACUUUUAAUCACCUAGUGGGUGAUAAUAGCGGCAUGCUGCCGAAUAAUUUUGGAGUACUGGACGUACUUUUAAUCACCUAGUUGGUGAUAAUAGUGGCAGGGUGCCGAAUAAACUUGAAGCCAUAGGGCCUGGCUCUUUUGGGCAUAUGAGCCUUGGCCUUCCACAUAACAUUCCAGCCCAUUAUUUUGGGCUUGCUGUUUUUAUUUUUUUAUUUUUUUAUUACCUUCUAAUGGGGUUAUAUAGAUGUCUCCGAAAGAUAAGAAAAAUAAAUUACAUCAUUAAAAAAUAAAUCCGACCCUCUGCUCAAUGGGUCAUGCCCAUAAUUCCCUUUUAUCCAUGCCAUCACCACCGCAAUUAUGUCUGCUUCUUUUUAUCUUCUUUUACUUUCUGCUUUUGCUUUUUCUUUUCACUUUUGUGGGAGUGGUUGAGCUGUCUGAGGGUCUUUCUUUUUCUUUUGUUGGAUAAGUGCGACAAAGCAUGCUAGCACAUGUGAAUAUCUGGUAAAGCUAAGUCAUUUGUUGGAAAAAGUUAUUCCCUUUGUCUAAUUGGGUUGUUGAAGAUAACCCAUCCUGAUUGCAGCACCACAAGCUUGCACCUUGGCAGUAUAAGUAUGACUUUUUCCAUGUGGUCGACAAAAGAAAAAGUAGCUUCAAGUAGUUGACAGUGUUAUCAUUAAGAAACCCUAAAUGUUCUAUGCCACACUUGCAACGCCAAGCUUCGGGGUAGUACUUGAGAGGUAUCGAGACACCUGGUUGGAUGGGGACAUAAAUAGACUGAUGGUGGGGUAUCGGCUUGGCAUGCAAUCUUCAAGAUUGACUGUAUGAAAUGAUUGUGCAGUGGCAAGUUCUCACUCCCGAGCAUUUUCAGCGCCGUUCCAAUUCUGCAGCAGUCUUAGUGAAUAUCCCAACGCCACACUCGAUGCCAACUUUAGUCAAGAACAAGUCGUCCGCAAGCAACUGCUCUUUGAACCCAUCAAACCCAAGCAACCACCUGAACAUCGCCGACUUCUCUAGCUGAAAGAACCUUUUCACAAUCAACCCUAGCACCAGCCCUGCCUCUAUAGCUGCCGCCAAGUCCUUCGGUAGACUCUCCAAUGACCUCCCAGCCUCUGCCAUUUCUGCCAGGGCCUCCGCCUUGUUUCGAUCUUGGUCAUCACCACUUCCAUCACUGUCAUUGUUAUUACCUCCACUUUCGCUGUCUCCAACACACGCCUGAUAGGGGCUCGCCGCCUUAUACAGCGGUGGCGAUGGGGGAUCGGGUGAGGCGGGAGGUGGUAAGUUAGAGGGAGGGAGCUGCGGUGAUGUUAGUGCGGUAGAUGAUGGUGAGAGUGAAGCUUUUUGGAAAGAGAGAGAAAUGGUGGGGGGUGUCUGGUGAAGGGGGAAAUUGAAAGUGAGAAGUGUAGAAGUUGGAGAUGAUGGUGACUGCAGCCAUUGUUGGUUGUUUUACAACACUUUACUUUCACUACCUCUCUCUCUCUCUCUUAUCUCUGCUGAUCGAAUGGGUGUUGGGUUGUUUGGUUCUCGGGUUUCUGCAGAUUCAAGAUGGAGUGUGGUGAGGUUUCACGGUGGUGAGAUGAAAAAAUGAAAGGGAACCGACAUAGCUUUUUGUGUCGAUUCCCACAGACGGCAUCAAUGUUGAUGCACAAAAUUGGAGGGGUCUUGGAACAACGUAAAUCCGACCGUGAAUCUGCAAGAAAGUAAAGAACACAAGAUGUAUCGUGGUUCAUCCCAAUGUUUGGGCUACGUCCACACUGAUAUUGUAUUUCUCUGUUUGUGAGAGGAUCAUGAGGGAGAUAGAGAGCUUCUGAGGGUGAGAGUGAGGCUUUGCUCUAAAUCUCAGAGCCUCUCGGAUUGUGAGGGUGAAGAAGCUUUUUUAUAGACUAAGGGCUCCUCCCCUUUUUACAUAUUUGCCUUUUCAUUUAUUACAUAAUUACGUUUGAGUCCCCCAAUUAUUUAUAAGAGUUCUAAAUACGGAGGCCCUAAGUAUGGUACAAACACAAUUCAUAACCAAUAUCAAAUUCACAUAAUUCAACAAUUAUGAUUAUGAUGCAUAUACAAUUUAUGUAGAAUCUAAAAUUCGUAAAACGUAAAGUUGGGUCAUGCAUCAUGGUGAAUGUUCAUGCUAUCAGGGUUGCAAAAAUAUCAAGAUAAAAACCGUUGUUUUGAAAUAACCUGAGUGCAUGAUGAUAUGGAUGAACUGGUUUGAUGCAGCAAAAUUCUCUAAAGUCAGAUUCCUAAGCGCAGCGGUAGGAGCGUGCUGAUAACGUGUUGUGGUCUAUUUUAUCUGACAAUGUUAAAGAGGGUCGGCGGCAAGGAUAAGAGAGUGAAAGAGAUGUGUUUGUAGAAUUGUAGGGGAAUGUGUGUUGUUAUCCCUCCUACAUUGUGCCUUUAUUUAUAGUAGUAAAAGGAAAGAAGAUAUUCAUUCUUCCCCAAGGAAUACAAGAUACAAUAGGAAAAGAUAACUAGAAUAAAAUCUAAUAUAGGAUUUACACAAUCACACUUAAACUAGGAAUGUUUACAACAUUGAUUAUAAAAGUUAACUAACAGAUAAUCUUAUGCAAGUGGCCAUUUACCAUAGUGGUGGAAAGGUGUUGAGUCCUUGCAUGAUGGUGUGGGUUCAAACCCCGUCAGUGGCUAAUCUAACAUGUAAUCUUUCAAAAUCUUUAGUUUGAAAAAAGGGUCAAUGUCAUACCUUCCAUCAAUUGUCUGUCAAUUCCUCUGUUAAAUGUUGACGUGGCUUGAGGCGGAGCCUACUUUCUAUUAAAAAAUUAAUAAGAUAUUAUUAAAAACUAAAAAAAAAAUCAUUUAAUAUUUUUUAAAUAUUAAAAUAAUAAUUAAUUCAAGAAAAGUUUAAAAAAAUAUAAAAUAAAAUAAAACCUAGUUCGUCUCCCCUUACCCGAGCCCAACCUACAACCCAAAAAAAAAAAAGGGUCGGGGAAGAUGAAGAUGGUUAUUUAUUUAUUGGAUGAGGAGGAGGAGGCUGGGUGCGCGGUGGGCUUGGGGAAUAAAGGGGUGGGUUGCAGGGAAGGGGGGUUGGGGAAGAUGAAGAUGGUUUUUUUUUGGGUUGCAGGUGGGGGAAGAAUGGGGUUGAGGGAAGGGGGGGUUGGGGAAGAUGAAGAUGGUUUUUUUGUUUUUUUUUUGUUUUUUUUGGGGUUGUAGGUUGGGCUCGGGUAGGGGAGAAGGGGGUUGGGGGGCGGGGAGAAGACGAACUAGGGUUUAUUUUAUUUUUAACUUUUCUUUAAUUAAUUAUUAUUUUAAUAUUUAAAAAAUAUUAAAUGAUUUUUUUUAGUUUUUAAUAAUUUUUUUAAUAAUUUUUUAAUAGAAAGUGGGUCCUGUCUCAAGGCACGUCAUCAUUUAACAGAGGAAUUGACAGACAAUUGACAGAAGGUAUGACAUUGCAACAAAUUCAAAGAUAAGGUAUGACAUUGAAACUUUUUAAAGAUGAUGUAUGAAACUGUUAAUGAUCCAAUAGUUGAGGUAGUUUUAUGUAAUUUACCAAAAAAAAAAGUAAAAGAUAAUCCUAGAAAUAAGAGUUAACGGUUGAUCAACAAUUUAAAAAAAAGUAUUAUAAGAUUAAGUGGACUAUACCAAAUGAUGGUUACAAAAUCAGACUUAUAUCUCAUUUAAUUUGAAUUUGUAACAGUUUCUUUUAAUUAUUUAUUUAUUAUAAGUAAAUAUUAUUUUCAAAGUUCACACAUUUAACAAAAUAACGAGAAAGCUCAAGCAAUUAAUUACAUGCAUAAACUAAAAAAUAUAUAAAAGCUCAUGUACGAACACAACCCGAUUGUCAGCUCUUGAAACCUUUCUUUGUCUCGAGCUUUUAUUUUCUUUGGUUACAUGAAAAAGAAAAACGUUAACGAGUUACUUGACUGAGCAAGUAGAAGACCAUGUUGAAUGUGACAGGACCCUAUUUUAAUCUCAUGUAUGAUUACAAUUAAUUAUACUCUAAAACCAGGUCAUUUUCGUCCUUUAAAAAUAUGGUUUGAAUGGUCAGUUCUUCCAUUACUUUCAUGAUCUCAUCGAUGGUGGCAAUUUUUAUAUGGGAUGUGUUAUCCACACAUCUAAUUUUACUUCUCACACCUUUAUUAAUUUAUGUUCGUUGAUCUUCUUCAAUUCAUUAGAUAUGACGGCCGAAAAUUAGAAGGGUGUGUGAGACGUAAAAAAAUGUGUGUGGAUAUCACACCCCUUUCUACAUAAUUGAUGAUUUGAGGUCCUCUCUAGACUUCAUUGUCUAGAGCCAAAUGACUAACAAAUUCGAACCGUUUAAGAGAAAAAGAAAUUCGGGUUUUUAGUUUGUAUGACGUGAGUCAGCAAAAUUAGUUAAUAGAGUUGUCAUAUUCAAAUUGAGUGAUCUGAAUUACUGAUCCUUAAGAUACAGACAAUGUGAUCUAGAGAGAAUCUCAACUCAUAAAUUAUAUGUAUUUUAUAGUUAGCAUUUCAAACUUCUAGGGACAAAGUUGUUGUAAUCAACAGGAGCUUAGAUUAGGAUGUGUGAUUAAUGAAAUCUUAAACAACUUGUUGUAUGUACUUGCUUCCGAUUUAAUCUUCGGCGCGAAUACUUAAAAGAAACACUAAUAUAAACAUGUCGACAUAAGUAAUAUGAUUAACAAAAGCCUUAAUAUCUAUACGCACCAUUUUUUCUGCUAAUCUAUACAGCAUUAUAUAAUAAAUAAAUGAUAAUUAAGUGCAUCAAGAUUAGCGAUUUAAUAAGUUUGAUUUGGAAAUAAUUGCGGGAUUACGUGCGUAUGUAAUGCGACAAUAUGGUACCCAUCCGAUUUGGAGGAAUCUUAUUGGCAUUCUAUUUGGACCAAGAAUUAAUUGUGUUCAAGGAAUAUAUUGUGCAUGUGGUAUCGACGAUCAUCAUGCAAUCAUUCGAUAAAUGUUGGAAUACCUUGGCUUUUUUAACCGUUAAACUUUAGUUUCUGAAAUUUUUAAGCAUUUCAUAUUCAAGAACAUUAUAAAAAUCUCGACUCAUAUGCAAAGACUACAAUUUUAUUAAUGAAACAAAGACUGCAAAUCAAUUCAUUCAACUACUUUGCCUCUAAACAUUUCUAAACCUAUUUAUCAAGUGGUUGCAGGCUAAUGCUCUCAACUUAAGAAUUCAACACUAAACUAUUAUGACUAGCCCAUUACGUAUCUUAUCCUAAGUUUCAGUAUUUUGUAAUCUAAAAAUAUUCGUAUAUCAUAACAACUGAAAAAUUGAUUGCUUCCCAAUUGUUUGCUAGUCUUUUGUGACCUAAAUGAGAUUAACACAUUUCCUUCUUUUUUUUUGUGAGUUUUGGGAAUAUUAUCAUUCAUAGGUCCGAGAUCCAUAUCUAUGAAUUGAAAAGUUCAAAUGAGAAUAGAAAUAUAGAUUAACCAUAAGGGUGCAAGUUGGAUUAGAAAUUUUAAUUCAAACCAAAGAUUUUUGUUCCAAGUCCGAACUUUCCAAAUCCGAUUUAAAAAAAAAAUAUUUGGAUAUCAUUUGGCAUGUACCAAUCCGAUCCAAAAAUUUCAAACUACUAUACAUUACAAAUAAAAAAACAGCAUGCUGAUUCUUAUUUUAUUAUGUUUAUUGUUAUAUUUAGAUAUGCUUUAAUUCAUAUUUUGUAUAUUUAAUCAUUUAUACAUAACAAAUAAAGAGUACAAUCAUACAUACGAUUUUAUUUGUCCAAUAUGAUUUUAUGUUGUAUACAUAUGCAAUGGCUUUAAUUAUUAUUUUGUAUAUUUAAAAUUUCUUUUUUGUCAAUUUUAUUUUUAAAUCUUGCAAAAUGUAGGAGAUCUAAAUUACAUUUCGAAAGUUUUGAGAUAAAAUUGAUUCUAAAAUUUCUAAUAAAUUUCAAUAACCCAAAAUUUCGAAAUUCAAACUAAUAUUUGAUUCCAAAACUUUUUGCAUUGGAAUGCUUUAUUUUGAUUCAAUGGACCGAAAAUCACUCUAGAUUAACCAUGAUUUUUUUUUUUCUGUCAAACAAAUUAAUCAUGAUUAAUUAAAGGAAGACUCUGGAUUCGGUCUCACUAACACUCUUUAACUAAAACCUUAAUGCUAUUCAAAUUUUUAUCAAAACCCCUUGACUUUGAAAACCUCAUUAUAUUAAUAUUAAUAUGUAUAUUUCUAUAUGUUCGAUAUUUUUGAGAUUUAUAAUCCCAAAGGGUGUGUAACAACCCGUCCUUAAUUUUACGAUUUUAUUAAUUUUAAAAGUGUGAAAUUACCAAAAUGCCCUAGAGGUAGGAUUAUUGACUUGCGUUGACCAAUGUAUAGUGAGAGUGUGAAACAUUCUUUUAGCGUAUUCUUGUAGAACUCGACGUUACGAACGCGUGGGUGCAAAUAGAAUUGAAUUUAGAGUUACGACGAAGAUUUUAUGUGAUUACCAAGGUGAAGGGUAAUCUAGUAAAUUCAUUAUUUUUGGAUAACUUGUCCCUCAUUAUUUUAUUAAUUUAUGUUGAGAUUUUUGUGAUGCCAACGGGGCCCACGCCUAUUUCUCCCGUGUUCCCAUUUCUCCUAAGCCACUACUAAUUUUCUGCCAACUCACCCAUUUUCUCUAAGACUCUCAUCUCUUAGCUCCCUCUCAUCUCUCUCUGCAAGUGCAGAGAAAAAAGUGACUUCACCUUACCACCUAGCCACUCCGGCGAGCUCUCAGGACACGGAACCACUAUUACUUUACCAUAUCACCUAUAUAUGUCCCUUUCUGUCUCUCGCCAUACAUCUUUCUCCCUCACCUUUAUCAUGUGUCCCACCUCUGCAACAACAACAUCGACACUAAACCUCUAUCUCUCGAUGUCAUCUUCGGCGAGCUCUACCAAGCCAUCACCUGGGUUCCCUCUCUCAUUCUUCCUAUUCUUAAUUCCCUCUCAUUCUCUUUCUCUUGACACUCGGUUUGGAAGCCGAGCUCCAUUCGAAUCUGACAGGAUUCCAACAAUGACAUGAUGAAUCUGACCAAGGUAAAGGUCGGGACCACUCGAUUUGUCAUCCCCAUCUCAUUUUGAUGAUGAUUGAGUAAUUAUAAGUGUGUUUUGGGCGACGUUUUGGUGCAGAUAAAUUUGAGGGAAAUCUCCUCAGUUUUCCGACGAAGGACCCACGAGUUGCAAGCGUCUUUCGACCAUUUUUUGGCCAUGGUGGAGAACCAAAAUGGUAUAAUUUGAAUCCCUACCCUCAUAUCUUCAUUUUGGUAAUUAAAUGGUGAGUUAUGGUUGAGAUUUGAGCUCGAUCGGAGCUCGGGAAGCUAUCUUGGCCAACCAGCCCAAAAAUCGCUGACCGGACAUGUGACGGGGACCAGGUCGAUCUGUUUUAAAAAAACAAAGGGCCCAAACCCGUGACCCCAUUAACCCUAACUCGGAUCCAUUUCAGGAUUUGAAGGGCAUAAUCCAAGGGAAUAUUCUGUUAACUUUCCAAUUAACUUUAACAUAAUAUUCGGUCUGAAGAUGGAAUAUUUCAUUAAAGUUAACUGUUGACAGUUAGUUGACUUUUUCAAAAUUUUCUCGAAAACCCUCAUAGGCUAAUUUCAACGCCCCGAGUCCAUUUUUUAAAAUUUUCGUGACCGUUCUUAGCUUAUUUCGACCCCCUAAUUCCAAAUCAGUGCUUCGUUUUCCCAAAUUUAAUCGUUUUAAUUGAGUUUUACUGACGGGACCCAAUAUUAUGCGUAUGUGCGAUUACUAUCGAAGACUCUGGCUUUCUUAGUUCGAACGGAUAUGGCAUCGCAAGUAACUAUGAGUGGGUCUUUUCUUUUAUAUAGUAUAUAUAUUUAUUUAGUUUCCAUAUGUAUAUAUAUAUAUAUAUAUAUAUAUAUAUAUAUAUAUAUAUGUGUGUGUGUGUGUGUGUGUAUAUAUAUGUAUAUAUAUAUGUAUGUAUAUAUGUAUAUAUGUAUAUAUAUAUGUAUGUAUAUAUAUGUGUAUGUAUAUGUAUUUAUAUAUGUAUGUAUAUAUAUAUAUGUGUAUGUAUCUACGUGAUUGCCAUAAUUAAAUUAACAUUUAUAAGAAAUGUCAUAAUGUUGAGAACUAUGAAAUUAUUCUGAAUCUUGCGGAAUGCACAUGUAUGCAUACUAUUAUGGGUUGUCUUAAUUAUAUUUGCGGCCAUGAAUGGUAUUAUGUUGACUAGAAUUAUUGAAUCACUGUGACAUGAUUAUAUUUAUGUUAUCUGCUUAUUAUUGCUACACUGGUGUUAGUACUCACCCGGGGACAAGGCCAGUCUUUCACGUGUAUGUGCACAUCACACCGUUGCUCACUUUGGAUCCAUUGUAGGUGACAGUCCUGUCCUAGAUUGCUAUAGGCAAUCAGGACUCGUAUGUGAUGCGCAUAACAUUAGUCCUCACGUGAUUGUAGUACUAGAGCAUAAAUAAUUAUUACACGCAGUCAUGUUCAUGUUAGAAUACCUCUACAUAAACUCAUGUGUCAUCAUGUGCUGAUAAAGUAUGCAAGAUUAUGUGAUUACCGGAUGUUAGGUGGUUAUUUACGAAAUACUGUAACGUAUUGAAUUCUUGAGAAAUUGUAGACUACGGUAAGUAUUUUCAUACUAUACUUAGUAUAUAUAUUUGGAAACUAUACUUGUUUUAUAAGGAAGGAUUAUUACGUUUUCAAAAGGGUUUUACAAAGUUGUAUUUUUAAGCCCACUCACCCUUAUUUUUGCCCCUCCAGGUUUCAGUAGCUGAGCUUUCGUUUUGACGAGGAUUCUUGGCAAUCUAGGCAUUGAAGAUUACCUUCAAUGGUAUAAUUCUUAAUCUACUCUACUGUACUUUACUUAUGCUCUAACAUCACGUAUGAAAUUGGUUCAUUCCCGCUCACUAGUGCACUUUUAUUUUUAGGCACUUUCGGGUUUAAAUUUAAGGAAAACUAAUGAAAAGGGCUUGAAAACUUUGAGUUUUAAUCAAAAUGACAAAAAGGUGUUGUAAGUGAAUAGUAUCAGGAGUGACUUUUUAGAGUAAAAAUGUCAUUUUUCUUUAAAGUGAACAGUAUCGGGAGUGUUUCGUUAAAACUCCCUUAAAUUUAUUCACAUUUUUCCAUAUCACUACACUUUAUCGCUUCAUCACCCUUCGGGUGUUGGCUAGCACAACUCGAUUUGGAGACUAGGUGGACAUUCCGGGUCGGGGUGUGUCAGUUUUGUAUCAGAGCAUAAGUUUGGGCAGUAUUGUGUUCAUCACACGCGUGAUUAGGGCUGGAAAAAAAAUCCCAAAAAUCCCAAACCAAACCGAAAAAUUCUCGAAACCAAACCGAAAAAAUCCCAAACCGAAAUUCCCGAAAAUUUCGGUACCCAAUACCGAACUGAUCCCGAAAUUUCGGUACGGGAAUCGAUCUCAAGUUUUUGGGAUUUCGGUAUUCCCAAACUGAACGGAAAAAAAAAAAUAUAUAUAUAUUAUUUAAUUUUAAAUAUAUAUUUAGAUCGAUAGAGUCCAUAGAAAAUGAAGGCUUCAAUAGUUGCACAUAUUUCUGUAUGAAUGAUUUAAAUCGAUAGAGUCUUGCAAUUGUAGCAUCUCCAUUUGAAUCCAGAUUGGCAGAGUCUUGCAAUUAUAGCAUCUACAUUUAAAUUGACAUAGUCUUGCAAUUGGCACAUAUUGCAACGGGCUUCUUAGCAUAUUGCAACCCAAAAGUGUUAAAAGGUUCAAUUUUAGCCCAAAAACAUAAUAUUUUAGUCCAAAAGCCCAGAAGCCCAAAAUCAUUUCGGGAUUCCCGAUUUGUCCCGAAAUCCAGAAACUAUUUCAGGAUUCUCGAAAAUUUGGUUUGGGAUCGGUAUUGAAAUUGGGAUUCCCGAAAUUUUUGGUUUGGGAAUCGGGACAAGGGUUUUUGUAUGGGAUCCCAUACCGAACCACCCCUAUGCGUGAUGUAAGCAUUCUUGGUUCUUAAACGUGUUAGCUUUUCCGAAGUUAUCAGUUACUUAAACGACUUAUCGACCUUUUAGAAGAACCUUUAGACUUUAAGCGAAGAAAUUCCUUACCUAGGGAAAGAUGUAGAUUUGAGACAAGUUGAUAGCCCUGAAGCAGGGCUAAUGUAUCGAUAGUUGCGUACCAUUAGAGAUUUACCCGUCAAUCCCACUACUAUUAUCUCGUCAUCAUUACCAACCCUUUUCGAUAUAUAAACAAAAAAUAGUUUUGAUUCCUUGGUAGUACCCGUUAGAAUACCACCUAUUAGAAUUCCUAUGAAGUUUUACUUUCAUUGAUUUUUUCAGAAUUGUCUUGAGUGACAAUCUAGCUCUAAAGUGGUAGCCAUCAACGGGAGAACAUCUGGGGGAUAGUCACUUUUAGUCCACAAUAACACUAAUCUUCUCAAAAGCACUAGUUAUCAUCCCGGAUCUUUGGGAGGAAGAUCAAAAUCUCAUUAAACCUGUUGUGAAGUAGGUUAUUAACAAAUUUCUUUUCUGACCUUAGAACAUUUCAACCAUUAUUAGUUCCCAAAAUUUCUUUCGAUGUUGUACUUGUCAAUAUGAUGGGUAUAAGCAUGAGAGUACGAGUUGGUAUACUUAUGGUUAGUAGAAAUCCCCGAAGCAGAAAAUAUUUUCCCUAGAAUCAACAAAAUCAACUCACAUGAUCAAUUCCUUAUCAAUCAUCCGAAACCAUCCACUUGAACGGGCUCUAACUUGUAAUCAGCUUACGGUGGCGCUAUUUAUUGGUGAUAUUGUCUGAUAUCCAGGAAUUGUCAACCAGUAUUCAAGCAAUAUGAUUUUUGGUACCGGACGCAUGCUAGUAUCUGGGAGUAAUACCUUUGUGCUAGAAUGCCGGUUCACAGUUUUAGGAUAAUGAACAAUAUCAAAAUAUCUUAAAUGCGUUAAUUAACGGCACGACUGAUAGAUUGAUUAAUAGUGACUACCUGAGCCUAAGAAAUUAAAUCGUGGAAACUUAGGAGCAAGCCUUUUUGGAGGACAAUAAAUUCACAGUUGUGUUAACCAUAUCACCCCUCUAGGUAACCAAAACUUCUUCAACCAGUCACUUUUCUGGUCACAUCUACCAACAAACAUUAUAAUUGUAGCACUAGUUAAAUUCCCGCUGUAAGAGCGAAAUAAGUAUCUAGGAAGUUGUGAAGGCCUUUAGUACGUGGCGUAGUGAAAGGAAGUAGUAUGAUACGUUUCAAUGAUGUAUAUCUCUGGUGUCAUUUCUCAAAAUUUUACCUGAGAUAUCACCAAAUUGUGAAGUAAAGAACAUCAUCGAUCUAUCUUUCUAACACCAUCUUUAUCUUCUUUGCAUCUUAUCGAACAACUCCAACGUCAUUGAGAAAACUUAGUUACAAAAACUUACCAAAUAGAAAUUUACCCAACCAAACACUGUCUUACGGAACCUUAAACCUAGUCACGAAGACAAUAGACCAGGCCUUAGUAUUGUACCUAGACUUCUGGCAAUUCAAUCGGUGAUAAUUAAAAUCGUUAGCCCAUACUUCGAAUUGAUGGUCUACCUGACCAAUUUUUGGAGCCGGAGUUUUCUUCCAUAGUCUGAUGAAUUCGUAGUAGUCUUACUGACGACUUUCUCACCUAUCCCAGCAACGAGAUCAAAUUUUUCUUAACACCGACUAUCAUCUUAAUACCAAAUUCCCCAAAAUGUUAGCUUUGAUUAGAUUGAUACUCUUCUUGAAAGACGUGAUCUCAGCAGACGACAUUCUUGUCAAUUUUCAAAAAGGUUGCAAAUGUAGAAAAUUGGUUAUUCCCAUGAAUUGUUGUGAAAUAUGUGAUAUCCUUGGCCUUGUCAAUUUUUGUCAACAGUUUGUUAACGAAGUUUCAGUUGUGGCGUUUUUCCUUUCAAGGUGGCCAAGGAAAAUUAGUUUAGUUGAGACGUUAAAUAUGAUUAAAGUUAUGACAAUUGUGGGGUUGUCUAUUUCCUACCCUUAUUCGUACACUUUUUUAUAACAUCAAUAAUUUUGAUAUCCAUGAUGACGUUUCCUCUUAAUGAUUUGGUUGCGUACUGAUGCAGCAUAAUAGAGUAUUGCUUUUGUUUCCAACUGUCUGAAUCGUGUGAAAUAAACUAUCUUAUACAUGACUUAGAGUCAACAGUUAUCAUUUUCAUUUGAAAAUCGGAUGACACUUCUCUGUGGAGAAACGUGUCCAAAUCUUUACUAACCUUAUACUUCUCAAAUACAUCUUCAUUUAACGUGAGCUAUGAUUGCACCAUCGUGUAUCAUCCUGGUUGUGCAAACAUAGUUACUGUUUACCUCAGCAAAAGACAUAUCUACCCUUGAACACCUUUAACCUGUCUUAUUCCAUUUCUAUUGGAAUUCACGAGUAUUGAUAUGACGUUACUUGCAAAUCAUCAAGAAAUCGUUUGAGUAGUUAUAAUCACUUCCUAUAUCCGAAUGGAGAUGGGAAAUAUCACCAUAAGCUCCUGGUACAAGGUAUCUUGUACAUGUGGAUAUUAUGAUGAUGUUUCGGUGAUUAUCAACUAACUUGACAAGUCAGCUUACUUUCCAUUGGUCUAAGGGGACUACAUUUUAGACCACUUAGUAAAAUUACUCAUUCUUGAAUUUGUCGGAUUUUCUAGUAUUCGAUCAACAUCUACUCUAACUGUGAUUCCAUAUUCACCUCUUUGUGUCGGAAGGCAUUCCUAUAAACCUUGGGUACGUGUCUACCCUACUGCACUUCGUAUUAUCUAUUUUAAGCAGACAUGUCGUCUAGGAGAAUCGCUCGGGCGUUAAAGUUUUAGUUGUGACCAUUAACUCCUCAAUCACCUAACAAAUACUCUGCUAAACGAAUCUUUACUGUUGGUGAUUUAAUAUUCCGGAAGCUACCGUUAUAGCGAUAUAUUGUGCAUUCAAUCUGGUUAUCUUGUACUAUAGCUUUAAUGGACUUGUUUUAACUCUUAGUUUCUUGAGUGUUCUUAGCCUUCUCGACAUAAUUUUUCAUUAAUUUUAAGAGAAAUUCACAAAGAAUCUGCUCGCUAAGGCGUUGUGAGCUACAUUGUUUGGCUACAUGGUGUGCAUGUCACUACUAUAUCUCACUGUGAUGCGUGUUUCACUCCCAAGUCUUGGGAAGUUUUCUUGGAAGCCAUGGGUACUAAGUUAUUAUUCAAUACCACAUUUCACCCUCAGACUAACGGCCAGUUUGACUGAAAUAUUCGAACUUUGGAGAACACAUUGUAUUUUUUUUCAUUCUAUUCUUCAGUUUUUAGCAUGGUUGUAGUGGACACUUAUUUAUGUUUAAGUUGCGUAUAACGAUAAUUAUUAUUUUGGUUGGCUAUGGUACUGUUUGAGUCAUUGUAUAGAGAUUCUAUAUGCAAUAUAUGAUUGACAGAUGAGUAUUGGGAACAGGUUCGAAUGAUCGAGAUUAUGAUAUAGGAAAUUGUGUUGACGACAUUGCCCGGGAGGGUAAUACGUGAGCACGAUCAAGACUUUGAUCAGACAAUGUAUAUGUGUUUCCCAAUGAGGGGCAAGAUGGUAAUAUUGCACCCUCGGGAAUUUGUUACUCGCUUAUCAAGAUAACAAUGAGUUGUCGGUAUUGCGGAUUACAGACCGUAGUAUCGAUAACUUAUUCGUUGGGUUCAUUAAGCGAGUGCACAAUUAGGCUGGUCUGCGUUAGUAUUUUUAUUUAUUUCAUUAUUUAUUUAUUGUUUGGGCUUGACCCAAAGAUACUACACUUAUUCUCAUAGUACGUGACGCUGCAAGUGCGUAGGUGAAAUUUUUCUAUGUUUAGUUUUGAUUUUAGUACAACUAUUUUAAUUUUACGUUAUUAUAGAUGUAUUUUGAUGUUAUGUUAUUAUAAAUUUAUUUUUAACUUUAUGUUUUUAUAAAGUUAUUAUAAUUUAGUAUUGUGUUGAAGGAGAAGGAAAGUUUGAGUUCGGAGACAUGAAAGAUGAAUCAUUGCAAUCCAAUCGCGAUGGAAUAACAUUCUCUUUUAUGCAACCGCUCUAGCUUGAUUUCUUCUUUAUAUAUUUUCUAUCUUGAAUAUUUUAUGUAUAGCAAGUUAUUGGAAAUUUUGGGGACGGAAUUUUUUUUGGUAGCUAGAUUGUAACAACCUGUCCCUAAUUUUAUGAUUCUAUGAAUUUUAAAAGUGUGAAAUUACCAAAAUACCUUAGAGGCAAGAUUAUUAACUUGCGUUGACUAGCAUAUAGUGAGACGUACGAAACAUUCUUUUAGCGUAUUCUUGUAGUACUCGACAUUACGAACGCGCGGGCGCAAAUAGAACUUGACAUUAUGAAUGCGUUUGUGCAAAUAGAAUCGAAUUCAGAGUUAUGACGAAGAUUUUAUGUGAUUACUAAGGUGAAGGGUAAUUUAGUAAAUUCACAAUUUUUGGAUAAAUUGUCCCUCAUUAUUUUAUUAAUUUAUGUUGAGAUUUUUGUGAUGCCAAUGGGGCCCACGCCCAUUUCUCCUAAGCCACCACUCAUUUUCUGCCAACUCACCUACUCUCUCUAAGACUCUUUCAUCCCUCAACUCCAUCUCAUUUCUCUCACUGCAAGUGCAGAGAAAAAAGUGACUGCACCUUACCACCUAGCCACUCCGACGAGCUCUCAGGACACGGAACCACCAUUACUUUACCAGACCACCUAUAUAUGUCCCUCUCUAUCUCUCGUCCUGCAUCUCUCUCCCUCACCUCUCUCCCGUGUCCUACCUCUACAACAACAACGUCGACAUCGGACCACCAUCUCUUGAUAUUGUCUCUGACGAGCUCUACCAAGCCAUCACUGGGUUCCCUUUCUUCCUUCCUCUUGUUAAUUCCCUCUCAUUCUCUUUCUUGACACUCGGUUUAGGAGUUGAGCUCCAUUCAAAUUCGAGAGGAUUCCAACGACGACAUGAUGAAUUCGACCAAGGUAAGUGUCGGGACCACUCAAUUUGUCUUCCCCAUCUCAUUUUGAUGAUGAUUGAGUCAUUAUACGUGUGUUUUAGGUGACGUUUUGGUGCAGAUCAAUUCAGGGAAAAUCUCCUUAGUUUUUCGACGAAGGACCGGGGAGUUGCAAGUGUCUUCCGGGCAUUUUCCCGCCACAACAGAGAACCAAAAUGAUAUAAUUCGAAUCUCUACCCUCCUAACUUCAUUUUGGUAAUUAAAUGGUGAGUUAUGGUUGAGAUUUGAGCUCGAUUAGAGCUCGAGAAGCUAUCCCGGCCAACCAGCCCAGAAACUGGCAACCAGACUUGUGACGGGGACCGAAUCGACCAAUUUCGAAAAAAAAGGGCCCAAACCCGUGACCCGUUAACCCUAACUCGAAUCCGACCCAGAUCCAUUUCAAGAUUUGGAGGGCAUAUUCUAAGGGAAUAUUCAUUAACUUUCCAAUUAACUUUAACAUAAUAUUUCGUCUGAAGAUGGAAUAUUCCGUUAAAGUUAACUGUUGACACUUAGUUGACUUUUUCAAAAUUUUCUCGAAAAUCCUCAUAGGCUAAUUUCGACUUCUUGAGUCUGUUUUUGACAUCUAUUUAGUGAAAUUCAGAAAUUUUGACGUAGUUAAUAGGGCUGGGUUCGGUUCUAAUCGGUUCGGUUUUUUGCCAAAAUCGAAACCAAACCGAAAUUUCGAUUCGGUUCGGUUCGGCCCAAAUUUUUUUCGGUUUCGAUUUUUUUUCGGUUUUUUUUUUUUUUUUUUUUUCCUCCAACAAAUGCAAAACAACCCCAACAUAAGAUAGGCCCAUCAAGAAUGCAAAUAGAAGUGCAUAAACAUAAGAUAGACCCAUCAAGAUGUGCUUAACAUGUAAUUUAAUGUCAAUGGGAAGUCCAUCAUCCUUUUGGUUAUAAAGUUUACCAUCAGAAGGAGGUGCAAGUACUACAGAAUAAGAAAUGGUAAUGUCAAUCAUCUUGCCACUACUACAAAUCCUCACCAAUGCAAUCUAAAAUAUAUUUCAAAUUUCAACCAAAUAAUCUAAAAUUUCAACCAAUUAAUCUGAUAAGAAAUGAAAUGGUAAUGUCAAUCAUCUUGCCACUGUUGAUAGAUUACUAAAUUUUGGUAGAGGCAACCAUAAAAGCAAUGAAUUCCUCUGCAAUUAAAGCAAGUGCAAGGGGUGAUCAUAUGUCAAAUCCUCAUGUGUUUCCUCAAGCCUUCCCAUCCGCUUAAACUACUUUAGUCUCCAUCAUAACUACAGCCUAAAGAACAUAGCAAGAACACGGUACAUCGCUUUCAAAACAAACACUACACAUAGAAUGUGGAUAACCACUGACUGCCAGUUUCAAGUUCAAUAAUAGAUAGAUUGUUAAGCAAAAAUCUCUUCGGAACCAAAGAAUACUAAGCAAGCAACUCGAGAUGACCAAGAAAAGAACAAGAGAAACAAUAAACAACCACACAAAAGAGAACAUAAAUCAAACUUUAAUUCAUUAAUAACAAAUAUUCUUAAGUCUGACAACCAAUUCAAGUUCAACAGCAGAUCAGCUAAAACAAAAAUAUCUUCUUAAAAGUUUAUGAGAACUCAGAAACCACUACUACUAGUACUCAUCUUGGGCCAAAUCAUCGACUCCUGGAAUGUUUGAAUAUCAGCCACUUAACGGUACUGCAAACAAAAAGUUUGAAAAAUGAAACCCAAUUACAUUGUGGAAACGGUGUAAUCUCAGCUCAGUAAACGGAAUCAGAACACGAUCAGUAGCUAAGGGUUCUCGAAGCAUUUACCUUGAUGAAGCCGAUUUCCUUGGCAUUGCUGCGGAAGCACUGCCUGUAGCACAUGAGGUCGUACUUCCUGAUCAAACCAUGAGGGUUUCCACACACCCAACUUGCAGGUCGCUGUGAAGGAAAAAGACGAAGCGGAAGAGCGGCGGAGUUGGGAAGGAAUGAGAGAGGGUCCAGAGUACAUUGGAGAGGGAUAAGGGAAAAGGGUCGCGCCGCCGUGGGUUAGGGUUACACUGGAGGAGAAGAGGCAGGGAACGAGAGAGACAGAGCGAGAGAGAGAAGAGGCUCGGCUGCGCUGGGUUAGGGUUACACUGGAGGAGAAGAGGCAGGGAACGAGAGAGAGACGAAGGGAAUGAAACAUCAAUCUGAAAAGGUAUGGCUGCUAGUGGCUAGGGUUAAAGGGUUUUGUUAAGUUCUCCAAAAAAAUUAAAAAACAUCUCAGACAUCCUGGAGGUUCGAACCCAUGCGUUGGGGCUUGAAAAAGUUCACCGAAACCAACUUAGUAACAAGGUAUGUUUUGUUAUGAUUGUAUGACUAAACUAUUUAUAAUAUUUAAAAAAAUAAUUAAAUAUAUAUAUAUCGGUUCGGUUCGGUUUCCGAACCUCAAAAACCGAAACCGAACCGGUCAGAUUCGGUUCUGUUCGGUUUGACAGUUUCGGUUCGGUGUUUUUUCGGUUCGGUUUUUUUCGGCCUCGGUUCGGUUUGGUUUUCGGUUUUUUUUGGUUUUUGGUUUUUUGAACCCACCCCUAGUAGUUAAUCGUCUCGGCGACACGGUUGACUUAUUAGGGUUGACCAUUGACUUUUUACGAAAAUUGCCCGAGACCCUUCUUAGCGUAUUUCGAUGCCCUGAUUCCAAAUUCGAGCUUCGUUUUCUCAAAUUUAAUCUUUUUAGUGAGUUUUACUGACGAGACCCAAUAUUAUGCUUAGGUGCAAUUAGUAUCGAAGACUCUGGCUUUCCUAGCUCGAACGGAUGUGGCAUCACAAGUAACUGUGAAUGGGUCUUUUCUUUUAUAUAGUAUAUAUAUUUGUUUAGUUUCCACACACACACACACACACACACAUAUAUAUAUAAUAAUGAAUUUUCUACGUGAUUGCCAUAAUUAAAUUAACGUUUAUAAGAAAGGUCGUAAUGUUGAGAACUAUAUAAUUAUUAUGAAUCCUGUAAGAUGCACUAGUAUGCAUACUAUUAUAGGUUGUCUUAAUUAUAUUUGUGGUCAUAAAUAGUAUUAUGUUGACUAUAAUUAUCGAAUCAUUGUAGCAUGAUUAUAUUUACGUUAUCUGCUCAUCGUCGUUGCACCGGUGUUAGUACUUGCCCGGGGCCAGGGUCAGUCUCUUCACGUGUAUGUUUACAUUGCACUGUGCACUCACUUUGGAUCCAUUGUAGGUGCCAGUCUUGUCCUAGAUUGCUAUAGGUAAUUAGGACUUGUUUAUGAUGCGCAUAAGGUCAGUCCUCACGUGAUUGUAUUACUAGAGCAUAAAUAAUUAUUACACCCAGUCAUGUUCAUGUCAGAAUACCUUUGCAUGAACUCGUGUGUCAGCAUGUGUUGAUGAGCAUUUGUUAUGAUAUGUUUGUUUAUGCGAGAUUAUGUGAUUAUCGGACGUGAGGUGGUUAUUUACGAAAUAUUGUAACGUAUUGAAUUCUUGAGAAAUUGUAAGCUAUGAUAGUAUUUUCAUACUAUACGUAGUAUAUAUAUUUGGAAACUAUACUGGUUUUAUGUCGAGGGGUUAUUACGUUUUCAAAAAGGUUUUACAAAGUUUUAUUUUUAAGCUCACUCACCCUUGUUUUUUGCCCCUCCAGGUUUCAAUAGUUGAGCUAUCGUAUGGACGAGGAUUCUUGACAAUCUAGGCAUUGAAGAUUACCUUCGAUGGUAUAAUUCUCAAUCUACUCUACUGUACUUUACUUGUGCUCUGACAUCAUGUGUGUAAUGGGUUUAUUCCAUUUCACUAGCGCACUAUUAUAUUUAAGCACUUUUGGGUUUAAAUUUAUUUACAUUUUUCCACAUCACUACACUUUAUGGCUUCGUCACCCUCUGUAUGUCGGCCAACAUAACUCGAUUCGGAGUCCAGAUGGACAUUCCAGGUCGGGGUGUGUCAGUGUGUGUGUGUGUGUAUAUGGCAUAUAAGUCCUAGAUUUAAAGUCUCUCAUUAUAUUACAAUGAAUAUGAAACGGCUACAAUAAAAAAGAUAUUCAAAAUUUUUUAUUGAAAUAAAAACACUGUAAUAAUACGAAAUAAUAAAUUGCAACAUAAUGUAUCCAUAGUGUUAAAAAAUUGUAAACAAGCUAUAUAGUAAUGUACCCUACCAAAAAUUCAUAUGGAUACAUUAUUUUGAUUGAAAUUUUAUUAUACCAAAAUUUUAGACUAAGAUUUUAUUAAUUUGAAUACUUUUAUUAAAAGACAAAAUAUUAAAUUUUAGUUUUAAUUUCUCCCCAUAGUCUUUCAAAGAUUAAUAAUUCGUCUUAUACUCAUCAGAUUUGUUAGUUUUCACAAAAUAAAAUGUUUUCUUUUAUAUAUUAAACAAGGGUACUUUUUUUUAUAUAUAUUUUAAACAAGGGUACAUUUGAAAUUGAAAAAGGGGUACAUUUAUAGAUUUUACAUUUAAAAAAUGGGUUCAUUUUAUUUUUAAAAAUGGUACAUUUACAAAACAAAAAAAAAAUCAGCCAUUUUACAUAAAAAAGUGAUACAUUUAUAAAGAAGAAUGGGUACAUUAUGGAUCAAUUAUGUGUCACAACCCGUUCCAGAGAUAUGUAUUAUUUUUUCUUGAGGACGUGAAAUGACGGUUUUAUCCUUAGACAUUGAAAUUGUAGUGUAUGUGUGUGUGACAUAUUUUGGUACUUGGAUGUCAUGUUCUUGGUUGGUUGGUGACCACGUGGGACACGCACACACACACACAAACCUCAUUUUCUCUAUUCUCUCCCAUGCUUUCUCUCAUACUCACUCUCUCUCUCUUUCUUCUUCAUACGGACGACACCCAAAACCCAUUGAGACGUGACAGAUCGAGGGUGUGAAGCAAACCAUUGUGUUCGUGAGGACCAUACGAGUUCAAAGGUACCAUUUUUAGGUAAGAACACCUUCGAAAUCACAUGAAAACUCAAACCCCGAAUGAGGUAUUGUUCAUGCACUAAUUAUUGUGAGGUUUUUAGGGGAUUUCAAGCUCAUAGGGAGCUUUAGAAGGUUGUCACGAAGCUCGGGGUGUAUCGUUUGAGUGUUUUGGACAUUAGGAUAGUGAGUUUCAACCUUGGCUGGUUUUUCUCAAAUUUUCCAGGCGAGAUCUCGUGGUUUUUUUAGGCUUGAAAGAGGUAUAAACUUUUUUUAUUCUUCAUGCACUUCAUUUUGGUAUAAAGAUCGUGAAAAAUGAUGCAAAAAUGGCCGAGAUAUCAUAGUUUAAAAAUUUUCCAGUUUUUCGGCGCCUGCAACGAUCGUCGGAGUUUAGAGGUAGGAGACGACGGAAUCUUUUGUCAAGUCUAACAGAAUAUUCCGAUGCCGUAAGUUAGUUUGGACGGAUUUCGUUAGGACUUAACGGAAUAUUCCUGAUAUAUACCUGACGAUGUUGACAGACAUCGUUAAUACGCCUGUCACGUGGCCGCGCGUGAGGGCGCGUAUUGCCGUGCCUUGGCCAGCGCGUGGGUGGUCGGAAAAUUAUUCUAAAAAUAUGGGGAUGUUUGUGGAGUUGUGUAGAUCACGUUGGUAUAUUCAAACACCCUAUUUGAGCAUUGUAUGAGAAGUUAUUAGCUAGUUUUGUCUAUGUACUUUAAAUAACGUUUUUAUAGUUAAUUCGUAUAUAGGUGAGACUUAUCCCGAGGACGAGCACGUUCAAGGGCGACUCGGGGGCUACGAUCCUUGACAUACCAGUGAGUGGGCUUUUGGUUUUCAGUAUAUAUUUGUAUACUUGAUAUUUACCCAUAAAUAUAUGUUUAAAUGAAAGUAUGCCUUAGAUGCCAUGCAUAUGAAUUUAUAUUUCGUAUAUGAAUUGGUAUAUGAUGCAUUAUAUAUAUAAUUGUGGUGCUGUGGAUGCCCAGGUAAGCUUAGGUGAGUUAUGUUUGGUUAUGUGAAUUAUCGAUGAUGUGAUAUGUGAUUGAAUAACGUUGAGCUCAUAAAACUGCACCUAGGGUGAUUGUGAUUUAGCCAGAGAUAUGGCACAUGCCUGUUUAUAAUGUCACCUCCCACACCAUAUGCUCAUAUUGGAUCCAAUCUAGGUGCAAUCUUGUUGUACAGACCUUCACUAUGGUUUUGACUCGUAGGUAACUAGCGAUUUAUCGCCCAGCUAUUAUGUGAAAGUAGUAUUGAGCAUGAUUAAAUUACACCCAUUAUUGUCGUACAUACCUUUUCAUUUGAUUCCGACUCUUGUGCAGUAUAAUGUCGUAUAGGUCAUUGUAGUGACUCUGGCUAGAUUGACUUCUGAGCUAUGAAUUCAACCGUACAGACUACCGCAAGAGUUCCGGUUAACAUGUUAUAUUUAUAUGAAAUUAUUCUUACCUAAAUUGCUUACUUUGUUAUAUCUUGGCAUGGCAUACAUAUGAAUAUGAUUAUGUGAAGCAUGAUUUGAAUUGAUAUAAUUAUAUAUAUAUAUAUAUAUAUAUAUAUAUAUAUAUAUAUAUAUAUAUUAGAUAUGUUGAUAAAUGAAAUGGUUUUGUAAAACAUUUGUUUUUUCCCACUCACGUUUUCUAUUUUGUGCCCAUUCAGGUUUUAGGUAAGCUUGUUGUCAGUGGCCUUGAGGAUUUUGGCGGUUCUGACCUAUCAAAAUAAUUGUAGGACAUCUUAUGGUACUGUAUAAUUGGUACUUGUCCUACUGGACUGCACCUAGACUUUCUAUGCUCUGAUUAGGAGUAAUUACUUCUGCAUCUUACUCAUAACACUUUUUGUUUAGUAGUGCACUCUAGUAGAUUCGGUUUUAUUAUUCAUAUACUUCUUACCUUUAUUGCUUCUGCACUGUGCACAUGGCUAUGUCACCCUCACGUGAUGGCCAACAUGCCUUGAUCUCGAUCGGGGUGUGUCAGUUUGGUAUCAGAGCCUAGGUUUAGCAGUCUUGUAUAGUUCUUAAAUAUUCUAAUCCUUGUGAUGUGUUUUGUUAGAACUAUGCCGCCUCGUAGAGAGCCUCGUCACUCAGCAGAGCCUAGUUUCCUCGAUAUUGCUCAGUUAGGGGAAACUAUAGUUACUGCCAUUCAGUCUGCGUUCCAUCCUUCUUAGAGGACUCCUCUUGAGACUAUGUAUAAUCUGAAGCUGAAUCACUUCAUAGGAAAUGAAGGACAUGAGGGAGCGGAAAAAUAGCUUAAUCAUAUCAAGAAGACCAUUUUUGUGAUGUAGAGUCAGGGGAAUCUUCUUCCUGAUAGGUGGGUCGAGACGACUACCUGGUUUUUAGGGGAGCAGCCUGCAUCCUGGUGGAUUCAGGAGUCUUACCAGUUGACCCCAGCAGAGAUUGCGGACUGGGGAGUAUUUAAAGAGUUGUUUCAAAAAAGGUUCAUUUCUCCUGAAUACAUUGAUCGUAAGAAACAAGAGUUUACUCAUUUGAAGCAUGGAAAGAUGUCAGCUAAUGAGUAUUAUAGAAAGUUCACUGAUUUAUCUUGAUAAGAUCUGGAGGUUGCAACUAAUCUGGUUGAGAUGCUUCGCCGUUUCAGGUUGGGUACUAAGAAGAAAUGACGUUCUAUAGCAACAUUGACUCCCUGUGUCACUUACCAGGAGUUUUAUGAGGUUUUAUUGUGGAUUGAGAACUUAGAGAACAUGCUUAGUGAAUGUGAGGAUGAGGAAGAAAAGAAUGAGAACCAGAGGCGAUAUGAUAAAAGAAAAGGGCAAACAUCUCAGGGACUUUGUAAGACCCAGAAUUUUAAGAGAAGCGGUAGUAAUUCCAGCUCUUCUAGUGGAGGAUUGAGUUCUAAUAUACAGAUAAGAGGUGGUUGAUUUAAUGGAGGCCCUAGAUUUCAGAGGAAUAGAGACUUUGGUGGUUCAGGUGCUCCUUUAUGCCGCAGGUGUAAUAAUAGGCAGCGAUGAAUGUUAUACUUGUGGACAGAUGGGUCACCGUGCUGCUCAAUGCCCUCAGCAUCAACAGAGACUCCAGCAGUCUUCCUUCCUACCACCUGCACUGACCCAUUAAGCUUCAUGAUCUAGUGGUUAUACUUAGACUGGUCGUGAAUGUGCCUAUCAUUAUCAGGGCGACGCCGCUUCUUAUACUUCAAGGCAUUAUCAGUACACUUAGGACCCUCAGUAUCAGGGAGGUUCUAUGUCGUAUCAGCCACAUUCAGCCGGUGGGUUUCAGUGGUACCAAAGGGGAAAGCCCCAACAAGGAGAGAUUGCUGCUAGCAGUGCAGGAUCUUCGAGGCAGUCUGGUCAGCCGAGACAGGGACGUGGUGUUCAUGCUAACAGAGGUCGUGGUGGACGACAACAGAAUCAGGGAUGUAUUCAUAACAUGUCACUGCAAGAUGCUCAGAACAAUCCUAAUUUAAUCAUAGGUACGUUAAAUAUUCUUGGUCAUUUUGCUAGAGUAUUGAUUGAUUGUGGUGCUACGCAUUCUGUUAUUUCUCAUACAUUUGCUCAUCCUACACCGCUAGGUUACAUUUGUAGGAGAGCCUAGUAGGGUGAGGCAUGGUGUUAUUUCUGCCAUGAAAGCCAAAAGAUUGUUGUCGAAAGGUUGUCAGGGAUAUUUGGCUCAUGUGGUAUUGAAUGAUGAUGUUUUUAGUAGUAUGGAUGAUGUACGUGUGGUCAGAUAUUUUCCGGAUGUAUUCCUUGAGAAUUUGCCUGGGUUGCCGCCAGAUAGAGAUGUGGAGUUUGUUAUUGAUAUGCUUCCAGGUACGAAUUCUAUAUCUUUGACUCCUUAUAUAAUGGCUCCUGCUGAAUUAAGGGAAUUGAAAGUUCAGUUGCAAGAAUUAGGGGAUAAAGGUUUUAUUCAGUCUAAUACUUCACCUUGGGGAGUUCCAGUAUUAUUUGUGAGGAAGAAUGACGGAACUUUGAGGAUGUGCAUUGAUUAUAGGCAAUUGAAUCGGGUAACCAUUAAGGACCGUUAUCCGUUACCUCGUAUAGAUUAUUUACUUGAGGUCGGGUUACUACUAGUUGAAGAUUAAAAAUGAAGAUGUCCCUAAGACCGCAUUCAGAACUCGAUAUGGUCAUUAUAAGUUUCUUGUGAUGCCAUUCGAGUUAACUAAUGCACCAUCAACUUUUAUGGAUUUGAUGAAUCAAGUAUUCCAGCCAUAUUUGGACAGGUUUGUUAUUGUCUUCAUUGACAAUAUGCUAGUAUACUCUAAGUCUAAGGUUGAGCAUGCUAGACAUCUGAAAUUAGUGUUAAGCAAUUGGAGGGAACACCAAUUAUAUGCCAAAUUUAGCAAAUGUGAAUUUUGGUUGAAUCAAGUGGCAUUUUUGGGACAUGUCAUUUCUGCUUAAGGCAUUCAAGUGGAUUCUCAAAAAGUGGCAGCUGUAGAGGAUUGGGAGCAACCUCGAACCGUAACCGAAGUACGAAGUUUUUUUAGCCUAGCAGGCUAUUAUAGACGGUUCGUUAAGGAUUUUUCAGUGAUUGCCUUGCCAUUGACGAGGUUGACUCGAAAGGAUGUUAAGUUUGAGUCGGAUAAUAAUUGUGAGCAAAGUUUUCAGCAGUUGAAGUAUUAUCUCACUCAUGCACCUGUUCUAGCACUCCUAGAUGAUAACGGUAAUUUUGAAGUUUAUAGUGAUGCUUCUUUAAAUGGUUUGGGUUGUGUAUUGAUGCAACAUGGUAGGGUAAUUGCUUAUGCUUCGAGACAGUUGAAACCUCAUGAGAAAAAUUACCCUACUCAUGAUUUGGAGUUAGCGGCUAUCAUGUUUGCUUUGAAGAUUUAGAGACAUUAUCUUUUUGGUAAGAAACGUAAGAUCUUCACGGAUCAUAAGAGUUUUCAGUACUUAUUUACUCAGAGAGAUCUUAAUCUUCAGCAGCGGAGGUGGAUUGAGUUACUUAGUGAUUAUGAUUGCACGAUUGAGUAUCACCCUGGUCGUGCAAAUGCAGUGGUGGAUGCACUUAGUAGGAAGACUCCAACCAGACUUAAUGCCAUUUAUGAUUGUCAUGUUCCUCUUCUUGCGGACUUGAGGUCCACUGGAGUGGAGUUAGGAGUGGAAGAUCGAGAAGAAGCCUUACUUACUAAUUUCAAGUUAGGCCAAUUUUAGUUGAUCGUGUGCUCGAGGCCCAGAUGAAUGAUGAAGAGACCCAGGAAAUAAUUCAAGCAAGAAAUCAAGGGAAUAAGAAAGAUUACAGGAUUCGAGAAACUGAUGGUAUGCUUAUGCAGGAAAGCAGAAUGUAUGUGUCGAAUAAUGCCGAGUUAAAGAAAGAAAUUUUGGAUGAAGCAUAUAAUUCGGCAUAUGCGAUGCAUCCAGGAGGCACUAAGAUGUAUCAUACCAUUAGAUCAUUUUAUUAUUGGCCAGGUAUGAAAAGAGAAAUUGUCGAAUAUGUGAGUAGGUGUGCCAUUUGUCAACAGGUUAAAGUUGAAAGGAAUAAGUCAUUUGGGUUGAUGCAGCCACUUCCCGUUCCACAGUGGAAAUGGGAAAAUAUUACUAUGGAUUUUGUGUACAAGCUUCCUCGUACACAGAAUGGUUAUAACGGUAUUUUGGUGGUAGUUGAUUGGUUUACUAAGUCAGCACAUUUUAUUCCAGUGAGAGAAAAGUAUUCAUUAAGCCGAUUAGCUAAGUUAUUCAUAUCACAAAUUGUGAAGUAUCAUGGUGUUCCAGUUAAUAUUAUCUCGGAUCGGAAUCCUAGAUUUACUUCCAUCUUCAGUGCUGCAGUUUGGAGACAGUUGGCAUGAUUGUUUGGAUUUUUGAUGGAGUUCGCCUAUAACAACAGUUAUCAUUUGAGUAUUGGUAUGGCACCAUUUGAGGCACUUUACGGGAAAUCUUAUCGUACGCCUCUAUGUUGGUCAGAGGUUGACGAAAGAGUGUUAGUGGGCCCUGAGAUCGUGGAUGAGACUACUGCCACUGAUUUAAAGUAUAAUGUAAGUGAUUGGGUAUUUCUGAAACUAUCACCUUGGAAAGGUGUUGUACGAUUUGGAAAGAAAGGAAAGUUGAGUCCUAGGUAUACUGGACCAUAUAUGAUCACCGAGCGAGUCGAUGAGGUUGCUUACAAGCUUGAGUUGCCUCCAGAGUUGUCCAAGGUACACGAUGUGUUUCAUGUUUCGAUGCUUCCACAUUAUGUUUUAGAUCAUUCACAGGUGAUUCCUCCUCAACCUUUGGAAAUUAAUUCGGAUUUGACAUAUGAUAAGGAACCAGUGACUCUGCUAGAUUGCAAAGAUAAGGAACUAAGGAAUAAGUCAGUGCGUUUGGUGAAAGUAUUAUGGAGAAAUCAUUCAGUGGAAGAAGCUACUUGGGAGACAGAGGAUCGGAUGAGAUAGAUGUAUCCACGCUUGUUUUAUGAUUAUUAGUGGAUGUAUUGGUUGUGUGUAAUUUCGAGGAUGAAAUUUUAUUAAGGUGGAUAGAUUGUCACAGCCCAUCCCGGAGAUAUGUAUUAUUUUAUUCUCGAGGACGUGAAAGGACGGUUUUAUCCUUAGACAUUGAAAUUGUAGUGUAUGUAUGUGUGACAUAUUUUGGUACUUGGAUGUCAUGUUCUUGGUUGGUUGGUGACCACAUGGGACACACACACACACACACAAACCUCAUUUUCUCUCUUCUCUCCCGUGCUCUCUCUCAGACUCACUUUAUCUCUCUCCUCAUUCUUCGUACGGACGACACCUAAAACCCAUUGAAACGUGACAGAUCGAAGGUGUGAAGCACACCAUUAUGUUCGUGAGGACCAUACGAGUUCAACGGUACCAUUUUUAGGUAAGAACACCUUCGAAAUCACAUGAAAACUCAAACCCCGAAUGAGGUACUGUUCAUGCACUAAAUAUUGUGAGGUUUUUAGGGGAUUUCAAGCUCACAGGGAGCUUUAGAAGGUUUUCACGAAGCUCGGGGUGUAUCAUUGGAGUGUUUUAGACGUCGAGAUAGUGAGUUUCAACCUUGGCCGGUUUUUCUCGAAUUGUUCCGACAAGAUCCUGUGGUUUUUAAGACUUGAAAGAGGUAUAAACUUGUUCUAUUCUUCAUGCACUUCAUUUUGGUAUAAAGAUCAUGAAAAAUGAUGCAAAAAUGGUCGAGAUAUCAUGGUUUAAAAUUUUUCUAGUUUUCCGACACCGGCGACAGUCGCCGAAGUUCAGAGGUAGGAGACGACGAAAUCUUCUGUCAAGUCUGAUGGAAUAUUCUGAUACCAUCAGUUAGUUUGGACAGAUUCUAUUAAAACUUAACGGAAUAUUCCUGAUAUAUACCUGACGACGUUGACUGACACCGUCAGUAUGCCUGUCACGUGGCCGCACGUGAGGGUGCGUAUUGCCGUGCCUUGGCCGGCGCGUGGGUGGUUGGAAAAUUAUUCUAAAAAUAUGGGGAUGUUCGUGGAGUUGUGUAGAUCACGUUGGUAUAUUCAAACACCCCAUUUGAGCAUUGUAUGAGAAGUUAUUAGUUAAUUCUGCCUAUGUACUUUAAAUAACGUUUUUAUAGUUAAUUCGCAUAUAGGUGAGACUUAUCCCGAGGACGAGCGCGUUCAAGGGCGACUCGGGGGCUACGAUCCUUCGACAUACCAGUGAGUGGGCUUUUGGUUUUCAAUAAAUAUUUAUAUACUUGAUAUUUUCCCAGACAUAUGUGUUUAAAUGAAAGUAUACCUUAAAUGCCAUGUAUAUGAAUUUAUAUUUCAUAUAUGAAUUGGUAUAUGAUGCAUUAAAUAUACAAUUGUGGUGCUGUGGACGCUCAGGUAGGCUUAGGUGAGUUAUGUUUGGUUAUGUGAAUUAUCGAUGAUGUGAUAUGUGAUUGAAUAACGUUGAGCUCAUAAAACUGCACCUAGGGUGAUUGUGAUUUAGCCAGAGAUAUGACACAUGCCUGUUUAUAAUGUCAUCUCCUGUAUGCUCAUAUUGGAUUCAAUCUAGGUGCAAUCUUGUUGUACAGACCUUCAUUAUGGUUCUGACUCGUAGUUAAUUAGCGAUUUAUCGCCCAGCUAUUAUGUGAGAGUAUUAUUAAGCAUGAUUAUAUUACACCCAUUAUUGUUGUACAUACCUUUUCAUUUGGUUCCGACUCUUGUGCAGUAAAGUGCUGUAUAGGUCUUUGUAGUGAUGCCGGCUAGAUUGACUUCUACAGGAGUUCCGGCUAAUAUGUUAUAUUUAUAUGAAAUUAUUCUUACCUGAAUUGCUUACUUUGUUAUAUCUUGGCAUGUCAUACAUAUGAAUAUGAUUAUGUGAAACAUGAUUUGAAUUGAUAUAAUUACAUAUAUAUUUAUGUAUAUGCUUAUAUUAUAUUUCUGGGAAAAAUUAUACAUGUUUUACAGCGAGGGGUCAAAUAUGUUGAUAAAUGAAAUGGUUUUGUAAAACAUUUGUUUUUGCCCACUCACGUUUUAUGUUUUGCGCCCCUCCAGGUUUUAGGUAAGCUUGUUGUUGGUGGCCUUGAGGAUUUCGGCGGUUUUGACCUAUCAAAAUAAUUGUAGGACAUCUUAUGGUACUGUUUAAUUAGUACUUGUCCUACUGGACUGCACCUAGACUUUCUAUGCUAUGUUUAGGAGUAUUUACUUUUGUAUCUUACUCCUAACACUUCUUGUUUAGUAGUGCACUCUAGUAGAUUCGGUUUUAAUUAUUCGUAUAUUUCUUAUCUUUAUUGCUUCCGCACUGUGCACAUGGCUACGACACCCUCACAUGACGGCCAGCAUGCCUUGAUCUCGGUCGGGGUGUGUCAUUAUGGGUACAAAUAAAAAAUUUAAAAAACUAGACUAGAAAUAAAUCUUUUAAAGAAAGGGGCAUAAAAAUAAAUUAAUAUAUGUGUACAAAUUAAAGCGAAAAAAAAUUUGUACAAAUUUUAAAAGGGUUUGCAAAUUAAAUUUGGGUACAAACUAAAAAUUAAAAUAUAUUAUACAAAGUAUAGCCAUAAAUAUAAAUAUACUAAAUGUAACGUUUCUAACGUUAAAUUAAUAUGUUUUUAAAAAAGUUUAAUUUAAUUAUACUAAUAUAUAUUUUAUUAUUAAAAUAAUAACAUUAAUUAAAAUUUAAGAACCUUAAUAAAAAAUUACAAAGAAAUAAAAUUUUAAUUAGUGAAAUAGAAGAAAGAAGAAUGAAAAAAUUUUCCUCAAUGAAAAGUAAAAACUACAGUAAUUAGAAUUGCUAAGCCAGGGAUGCAUGUAUGGAGCCGUAGAGGUGUGUCGUGACAACCAUGAUUAAGGGAAUCUUGUGAACGUGGCAGAAUCACACGGUGAUGUGUCAAUUUAAGUGACAUGUGUCAGCCCCUCUUCGACUGGUACACUCCAAAUUUGGAAAAUUAAAACCUAUAAAACGGAAAAAUAGAAAGACGUCCGCUUCAGAUGGCAAACGAAAUUAUUUGUACGUGAAAAAGUAGAUUACGUUUCACAAUAAAUUAGUAAUAAUAUAGUAUAAAUAAAAAAAUUUAGAUUCAAUUUUUGUUAAAAACAAAUAUGAACAACUUAGUUUAUCUCCUUCAUUAACAUGAAUAAUAUCGUUUUGUUCAGAAAAAUAUACGAAUCAAAAGUAAGUCCGUUACGUCUUGACGUGAUGUGGAACCAAUUUCCGUGUAUAAAAUUUUACGCCGGCCCAGUGGGUCCCGUUGGUUCCAUAAGACGAAGUUGACGUCUGAAGCCUCCACUCCCGCCCAUCAUCGUGGGCCCCACCUGAAUACAUAAACUGGGUGUUAUACUCCAGAUUAUAUUACAAUAUGGAGGGGAGCGUAUGGUCCACUUGCGCUGAGGAUGUUCCACGUGGUAAUUUGUUGACGCUAAGCUCGAUCUGGGUUGGUGAAGCGUUGUUCCUGAUGUCAAAGUGCGUUGAAGUAAAAGUUGACCCUUAGACCACUAAGAAUGUUUUAGUGGUUUGGGACGAAUCUUAGACUCAUAUAUACACGGCACAAUUUAAGUCCAAUUCACAGUAAUUAAAAUAUUCAGUAACUGAAAUAUUUUUGUGAGCUUUUUUGGCUGACGAAAAGUAAAUUACCGUAACAAAGUUACUAGCUAAUCUCUUUCUAAAAACAAAGAAAAAAUCAGAGCCCUCCCUCACAUGGGUUUGUGCAUGGAAGAAACUACUUCUCACAUGACCUAGAGCAGGUGUUGAUCACUCGCUUGACAUCUCAUCGGCUCAUAGCAAAAUAAACAUGACUCGGAUCAUAUUUUUCAUUAGUUGAGGAGAGCAAGCUACAUAUGAUCGAUUUACUAGUAAACGUUCCGGUCUAAUAAUGUAUUGUUACAGAGAAAAAUAUUACGCGUAAUAUAUAUUAAAUCAGAUCACUACAUGAUAGUAUAUUUAUUCAGUAAAUUUUGUUCUCCUGCUUUGAGAUCUCCAAUGGUUGAUAAGGAUUAUAAACUUAAAUUACAUUUUGCAUUAUUAUGCUUUGGCUUCUUUAAGAUUCUGAUCCUUGUCUUUAAAAAAUUGGCAAAAAAAUUAUAGAGGUAAGAAAUCAUUACCUUAUUGUCCAUUCAACAAUUUAUUGACAAGGUGCUUGAAGGUCGAUUUUUGUUCAUAUGAACACCACAUUGAUGCAAGUUAUAACUGAAUUACAUUAGUCUCACGUUCAUAUAAGCAAAGAAUGAUCAAACUAAAAAAAAAAAAUUUAUUUUAUAAUUGUUUUUGUCGUUUUUAAUUGAUACGGACCAAACACAAAUCUCAAACACGAGUUGAGUUCUUAUGAAAAUUUGAUUAAACUAAGGACAUUACUAUUGUUUGCUUAAACUUUGUCUACCCUAAUUGUGUUCUUGAGCCUGGACAUACCAAUGAAGUCAAGAACGUCAUCACUAGAGAAAGAGAGAAGCUUAAGUGAACCUUCAAGUUUAAACUUAAUCAGAUGUUUUAUCAAAGGGAUGAUUCUUCUAUUACCACAUGUACACUCAAUUCAAUCCACAUAUAUAAUAGAGAUAUUUGUCAAUUUUACACCCGAAUUUGUAAGGAACUAUCAAUUUUCCCGUGAACUUUAUAAUUGCAAAAAGUGAUUUUAUCCCCUUAAUGUGGAUAACAUAUUGUAUUUUUCUUUUUCUUCUUCUUCUUCUUCUCUUCUGCGUACACUUUUUGUAUGAAUUUUAGGGUUUAGAGUUUUGGAGGGAAAUUAAAGCUCAAGGAAACAUUGUCUAAUUAUAAAAGUUUAGGGAAUAAUUGGUUAAAAUUAAAAUUCAGAGUAGUCAAUUAUAAAAAUUAAGAAAGUAUUCAACUAAAAUUAAAGUUUAAGAAAAAAAUUGAUAGGUGGUACGAAAAUUGACUAACCUAUGGUCCACGCCUUUCAUAUAAGCCUACAAUUAGAAGGCCAAUUACUAUUGAAAUUCCCUCUCCUUGUUGAGGCAUGUGGUCCAUAAAAUGGAAGAAUAUGCAUCCAAUAAAGUUCAUACUUAUCCGUUUGCCAUUUUCUAUUAGAGUUUAAGAUGAUUCAUUUGAGUUAUGCAAAUUUUUAAGGAAGUUGUAACUCAUCCUUAUGCACACGAAAUUAUUAAAUAUAAGAUUUUUUUAUAUUUUUUUUAUAUUGGUUGUAGGAUUAGUGCUUGGUGUAGCGCAUCUUGAGCUAAAUACAUAUUCAAUUGAUAAAAGAGCAUUAAAAAUAUAUGUCAUGAAAAACUCGGCUUCAAAAUGGUUCUUGCAAACUAGAUCUAAAAACAUUACAAUAAAAUAUCACUAAUUGCAAAGUAAUGAGUAGGUUUUAAACACUCGUCCGAACUCAUCAAGAACUGUACGAUUAUAUAUAUCAAAAUAAAGCAUAGAAAAAAGAAAGAAGUUUCGGAAGUCAGUACUCAACAGUUUAUAAAUAAAAACCAAAGCUCCAAUUCGACUUAACUGAAGGAUCAAUGCUCAAAUUUCCUUGUCAUUCAACUGGAUAUAGCAAUUAGUAAAUAGGGCAGCGUGUAAAAACGCGAUGAUCAAAGCAGUGGGGGGAUGCAAAUGAGUUUGGGUACACAGCGCAGCUGGACCCGCAUUUCAUUCUUGAGUCGGAAAGGCUCUCAAUUGAAAAACAUUUCAUAUGAAUUGAAACUCAGAUGAUACAACACAUAUUGUUAUAUAAUAAUAAUAAAUUUUAUUUUUAAAUUAUUAAUUUUUUAAUACAUAUAUUUUACUAUUCAUAUAAUAAUACAUAAUAUAUUACCCGUAUUUUGAUUAUACUAAAAAAUCAGUAUUCAAUUACACUCACCACACAAAUCCUCAAAUCAAACUUUACAAUUUUUAAAAUAAUUAAAUUAAAAAUCACAAUCCUAAAAGCCCACAAAUUUAAUAUAAAAAAAUCCCAAUGAGGAUGGCCUCCAAUGUUUCCUUAUCUCUUCCACUCUCUUCCACUCUCUUCCACUCUCUUCCCUCCCUGUUCCUCCAUUGGACCUCUCUCUCUCUCUCUCUCUCUCUCUCUCUCUCUCUCUCUCUCUCUAAAAAGGUGAAAACUGCAAAAAUUAAAAGCCUAAAAUCCCAUUUGACCAACAUGCACAGAGCUUAGUGGGUGUUUCUAUAUCUUUCAGUGCCUUCUUCUUCUGUGUUUCUCACAACCCGAAGAGAUGAAGAGAGAACACUGCCAUAGCUCUGCAACUGCAAGUCAGAAUAAUUCCAAACGAGAAUACUCAUCACCGCCGUCUUCCGCCCUGAACGGCAAGGCCAAGAUUUGGGAAGAUGAACAAGGCUACAGCGGCGGCGGCGACAUGGACGAGCUGCUUGCCGUUUUGGGAUACAAGGUUCGGACCGACGACAUGGCCGACGUGGCCGAGAAGCUCGAGCAGCUCGAGAUGGUCAUGGGGUCGGCUCAGGAAGAUGGGGUUUCUCAGCUCUCUGACACCGUCCAUUACAACCCGUCCGAUCUCUCCGGGUGGGUCCAAAGCAUGCUCUCUGAGCUCAACACCGGCGACGAUAUGCCCUCAAUCAACGGCCCUCUUCUCGCUCCAGGGGAGUCCUCGACGAUAACGUCGACGAGCUUCUGCAAUUCCCAGCGGACUCGGGUUUUCAGCGACGAUUCCGAAUACGAUCUCAGGGCUAUUCCUGGCGUGGCGGCGUACCCGCCGGCACAUUCGUCGUCGGAGACCGAGAGUACGAGAAAGCGAUUGAAGAGCUCAAUUGGGUCUAAUUCCGGCGGGAUUGAAGUCUCCGGCGCUGUAUCCGACCCGAUUCGGCCUCUGGUCCUGGUCGACUCACAAGAAACCGGUGUCCAACUCGUCCACACACUCAUGGCCUGUGCUGAGGCUGUCCAGCAGGAAAACUUGAAGCUUGCAGACGCGCUUGUGAAGCACGUGGGCCUACUCGCGGCUGCCCAAACCGGAGCUAUGAGGAAAGUCGCCACGUACUUCGCUGAAGCUCUGGCUCGUCGGAUUUACCGAAUAUACCCUCAGGAUUGCCUCGAUUCUUCCUACUCGGACAUUCUCCAGAUGCACUUCUACGAGACCUGCCCCUACCUGAAAUUUGCUCACUUCACUGCCAACCAGGCAAUACUCGAGGCUUUUGCCACGGCGACCAGAGUACACGUCAUCGAUUUCGGGCUUAAACAGGGGAUGCAAUGGCCAGCGCUCAUGCAGGCGCUGGCACUAAGGCCCGGUGGCCCACCCGUGUUUCGCCUGACGGGUAUUGGGCCGCCGCAGCCCGAUAACACCGACGUUCUGCAGCAGGUGGGAUGGAAGUUGGCUCAAUUGGCAGAAACUAUUGGGGUCGAGUUUGAAUUUCGAGGAUUCGUGGCCAAUAGCCUGGCUGACCUCGAGCCGUCUAUGCUUGACAUCCGUCAGGACGAGGCCGUAGCGGUGAAUUCGGUUUUCAAGCUUCACGGUCUCUUGGCUCGAGCCGGGGCGGUGGACAAAGUGUUGUCAUCAAUCAAGGCCAUGAAGCCUAAAAUUGUGACUAUUGUGGAGCAGGAGGCGAACCAUAACGGGCCGGUUUUCUUGGACCGGUUCACGGAGGCAUUGCAUUAUUAUUCAAGCUUGUUUGACUCUCUGGAGGGAUCGUCCGGGCCGAGUCAAGAUUUGGUCAUGUCCGAGGUCUAUUUGGGUAGGCAGAUAUGCAACGUGGUGGCAUGUGAAGGUGGGGACCGAGUUGAGCGACACGAGACGCUGACUCAGUGGCGAGGCCGGAUGGACUCCGCCGGGUUCGACCCAGUCCACCUCGGAUCGAACGCGUUCAAGCAGGCUAGCAUGCUGCUUGAUCUUUUCGCCGGCGUAGAUGGGUAUCGGGUGCAGGAGAACAAUGGGUCUCUCAUGCUCGGGUGGCACACGCGGCCGCUCAUAGUCACCUCGGCUUGGAAGCUGGCGAGCUCAACGGAGUGAGUGAAUGAGUCAAUUUCAGUCGGUUCAGCGGCGGUGAUUGAUUGAACCACCGGGCACCCAGUGGGGUGGUUGGACACUGUGACCAUGUGAGUUGUGAAUUGUCAGUAGAGAGAGUGGGGACUACAAUGAAAGUGAAACUGUGAAACCAAUCCAAUCGAAUCAAUCAAGUGGUGUAAACUGUGUAGUUGUAAUUGUAAUGGUAGUUUUUUAUUUUUUUUUUCAUUUUUUUUAUGGGCCCUUUUGCAUAAGUUCCAAGUUGUAGAGUCCUUUCGACAAGGGGGACGAAUGAAUCAUUGUGACGAUGUGUAACUAUCUAUCUUUUCUGGAAUAAAAUGAUGAGCAUUGAUUCUUGAAUGGGAAAGAAACCAUUUUGCUCUCUGUAAAUUUGACA
rnacentral:lncRNA from 1 species